rnacentral:lncRNA from 1 species
ACAAAGGUAUAUUUACCAUACGAGAUGUGUGCACCUACUAAAGGGAAUAGAAAGAUCUUGGGCACAAAUACUCCACUUUUCACGAAAGACAUAGAUUCACCAAUGAUUGGUUGGACUAAAUACUACAUUUAUUUGCUCAGAAGAAGGAAAGUUGGCUGUGAGAAUGAUUUCUCGUACGUAGUCUUUCCUAGGACCAUUCCAACAGGAUGCUCAGAGGUGGGUGGAGAAAAAGCUCAAAAGGCAUACUUCCUGCGCUUUCAGAGGAUCUAAAUCAGUCUUCAUCCUUUCGCUUUUCAAAGCCCCUCGCAAUAAAUAUGUAAAUUCGUUUCGCAGAAAUUCAGAGAUUUUCGAUCUCCUCGAAAGAAAAUGAGUUCGAUCAGCAACACCGGUCUCCGCAGCACCAGGAUAAAGACCUUCUUUUUACCCAUAACCUUUCUCUGCAGCAUUGGAACCAAGAUCGGGCUUGGCAUAGUUACGAGGUUCCCGUUCUAUUUAACUAACACUAACUGAAGCUAACCGGAAGCUUUCUUCUCAUGCGACUCUUGGAUCGAAAAGAGGCUGCUGGACUGGACCACGGCUGAAACUGCCAGGCACGGACUAAAAGCUUUUAUCAGGGAUUCCCGAGUCAAACGACUACCAUACAUAGCAUAGAGCUGGAAGCUGCACUAGUGUACAGAGAAGACUGGAUGUGAACACGGGCGGACAUUGGCUAUGUAUGGGGCACUCACUAAUCACUAUUAGCAGGAAACAACUAGCAGAAAGAAAGAUGAACGCACUUUCACUCCUUGCUCUUCAGCACGUACUCACACGAGGGACUCUCAAAUCUCUAUUUCAGACCAUAAUCUUUCGAUCCCUUUACCGAAGUGAUUGAUAGCAGGGCUAAAAAAUCAUAGGGCUUCUUCUAUUUUUAGUGUGAACUCACUUCUAUUCUAUAUCAAGAUAGGGGCUUCAGUACUUGGCUGACCGCCCGGUGGAAGACCUGGUUCUACCACACAAGGGCAGCUUUCGUAGUCCAGGAUUAUUUUCCUCAUAUGUAAUUUCACCUCAAUGUGGAAAUGUCCGAUCUUAUUCCAAAAUAUAAGGUCUUCAUGAAGGUCUGUCUUGUUUCAGGAAUAUAGGUACCGAAGUUCAAUAGCGGUAGGUACCAAGGAGAAGACGAGUCAGGGCCGAUUGACAAGACUAGCUAGGCUGACCUUCCAGCCAUACUCCAUCCAAUAUCGAACGGAAGUGCUAAAGGUUUCAUGUGAUGCUGACCUCAAUGAACCAGACCUCGAGAAUUCGUUCAUCCCUUCGCUCCGAGGAUUGGUCGAGUACUUGGCCACAUGCAUGAGUAGGCCUGUUGCCGGGAUGUCCCAUUAAAAAGGCAGGUCCCAUAUUUGAAAUACAAAAAUAAGAUCAGAUAGCGCUCAAGAGGUUUUUCUCCAUACGAGAAAUCCUUCACUCGCAGGGAAUUCAAAUAGAUGUGUUGAAGAUCAUCAAAGAAAGGAAAAAGACUGAAUUCGAUCCAUCUCCUCCCUUUUCUUUAAACCAAGAGCUACUCCUCCCUUUUCUUUUUUUAUGUAAUUUCAAUACGAUUUCGUUUGUGUUCAUGUUUUCAAUUUAGAACCCCACGGAAGUGAAUAGAAAAAAGAAAAAUACCCCUGUGAUACGCCUUCCUUUACCUAUUUCUAGAUUGAUUGAUGUUCAAUGGAGGGAAACUUGCCAUUCCUUCUUUCCUUUGAAAUUGUACAUUUUUUUGAUUCUGAACUAAUUGUAUCCUUUUUGUUCCCAUCGAGCUUUCUUGCCUAGUGACUAAGGAUUUUCACACUUGUUGUGUCUAUAAAAGAUUUUCUCAUAAAACACUAACAGAAGUGUUAGAGGGAUUCACUUUCGAUAAGAAUCCAAAAGCAAGUUCCCUAUACUACCUUCUUUCCCUCCUCUGUUUCUGUCUUUAAGAGGCAGUGCAUCCGGCAGGAAUCGAACCUACUUUUUGACCCAUUUUGCCUUUCUAGGUUGGUGGGCGCUUUCAGCAUUCAGCCAUGGAUGCUUUAGCGAGUGAACUAGGUUUUUAUUUGAGAGCGAACUAGGUUUUUAGUGGUAUUCCUUCUCGAGCUUCUAUUUCUUCCGUUAAGGGAGAUUCGGGAAAAGAUGGAAUAGGAAGACGUGUUUCCAGAACGAACAAGAUACGGGUAGAGAAGGGGAAGUUAGCAAAGUUAGACAAGAUUGGAAUGGGCAUAGGAACAUGUAUUGAUGUACCAGAUCGGCUAAUGCUCCCAGGUUGAUGCGAUGUAUUCCACCAGUUGACUGGAGACUUUAUUAUUGGUAUAUCGAUCGGUCCAGCACGGAUUGAAAUAGGAGCCGGUUCGACAGGAAGCUUUUGAAAACGCAGUGCACCCAGGUAAAUAAGGAACAAGAUGAAUACAGAAGUUAAACGAGCAUCCCACACCCGAAAGGUACCCCACAUAGGCCUUCCCCGAAACCCCCCAGUCACUAACGUAAACAAAGUAGAAAAAGCACCAAUUUCUGUACCGGUUCCGGAAGAGCGAAGAAAAAGGGGAUGUUUUGUUAAUGGGAACAAGGAACUGUUUAUAGCUGUCGCGAUAUAAAUAACUAUACUCAUCCGAGCCGCAGGAACAUGUACAUACGAAAUACGAGAAUUUCCACCUUGUUGAAGAUCUGGUGGUGCUACCCGAAGACUUAAAUGAAUAGCCAUCGCUGUUAAGAACAACCGAGAUCCAAUGAGAAUUUGCGCGUAGCUUUUUGUCUUUGACAUAAAAAAAUAAGGUUGUAAUAACGAAACUGACAUUUUAUUUUCCUUGCCUUGCAAGUGGAACAAGAAAGACUAUAUAGUUAUUUUGAUUCUAUAAACAAUCAAAGGAUUUCGCAUGCUUUCCAUGGAAUGACGGAAUUCCCCUUGCUUAGUUUUCGCUCCGCUCGUGCGUGGCACUCCUUGCUUGCGGAGCGGCAUAUCGGAAAAAGAAGGAUUUACUUUCUAUACGGGCCCGUCCCCUCUUACCCCUAACUAACAAUUAUGCUGCUCUCGCCUUUUUGUAAUCUUAUCUUUCAAAAAUGCACUACUAAUUUUUACGGCCUCCUUAGUCACCCUAUCCACUCUCGUCCUGUUUUCGGGUUCCCUUUCAGGGGAUGAGGAUAUUUCGAUGAUUUCUCCCUCCGUAGGUGGAAAACGCGUGGGUGAGUAGAGUCUGUGCUUUGCUUUUGGGGGCACCGGCAAGAAGCUUCUCGGCCACCCUACUCUGACUUGAUUAGCUACUAGUAACUAGGAUCGUUCAAACAGUCAGUCAGCAAUGCGUACUUCUUUCCUAGUUGAGUGGAUCUGCGUAGCAGAGCCCAAUCUUCUACCACAAGCUCUGACCUGACUUGUUGUACUUGAUUCACCCACGUAAAUAGACAACUUGGAUAAUAAAAGUCAUCCCAUAAAAGAGAAGUGAGUCCGCAUGUCGGCAAAUGAUUUGGAAUUGAAACUGGCUACAGAGGAAACCGAAGCCCUAACUCCCCAUUCUUUCUAUCUUACAUCGCCAUCGAGCCCUGGCUGUAGAGUCACUGGUUUCUAAUCGCAAUGGAUUUAUGUUUUCUUUGGCUUUUCCAUUCGCUUCGUUCAACCCUGAUCUGGAUAGAUAGCUCGGCUUCUAUUAGCUGAGAAUGGUUUUGUCAAGGAAAGGUUUCGCUAUACAACAACAAUGAACUCACUUCUGAUCAAAUUGGAUUGGAUGAAUCGGUAAUCUUUCUCUGUCUUGUGAGAGAGAGUCACUUGCUGUAUUGAGAGCGGGCGGGUGACAUGCAUUAAGCGAAAUCAGUUGUUAUGUUUUUGAUCUUCUUUGCGCGAGAAGACCCUUGACUGAGGAGACGUGUUUGGCUUGGAUGAUGCCGCUAUGCUCCUAUUCACUUUCAGAGACCGCUCUGAGUUUGCCGGUUUUGCGGCAACCCUUUCACUAAGAACAUUUUAGCCAUUAACGAAAUGCCACUAUUCCACAAUGCUUCUUUGAUUUAUGUGUAGAAGCGGUAGUAGUGAAGAAAAUGGAGGGAGAAGAAAGAAAGCGAUGUGACACGAGAAUAGAUCACAUCCGACAGCCAGCCAUGCCAUUAGAUAGAUCCGCUCUGAGUCUUCUGCAGGAUGAGAUCCGCUUGGUCUUGUGAUAGGGACUAUUCCUUGCCCUACCUAGUGUGGCUUGGAGAUGUAAGCCUGUUUUCUUCUCUAAGUUGCCUGCAGCCCGAAAGAAUGGAAGAGGAUUUUUCGUAUCACUGAUUUCGCAAUAUUGUUCGAUCUAAGCACGGGAGCAGAAAAGAAAGGGAAAGAGAAGAUCAAUUCCGAGGUUAUGGAUGCUCAGGAACAUGCUUCUCUCUCAGUGGGUCAAUAUUAAAACAACUUUCUGGGAGAAAUCCUUGCAGCUGCUUAUUCAGCCCAGGCAUCACCAUUCAACAAGUGUCAUCCCUACAUAGUAUUGUUGGUCAUGAGCAUCAGGCAGUGUCAAUAUCUUUGGAAGGAUUUUGGUGGGGCAGCUUGAUGAAGGUUCCUGCGUGCCAUUGAUGGGAGAUCUGAUAUCUGACGGCUGAACCUCCCCUACCUCGUGCUUUUGUUCUUUUUAAACAACAGACAGGAGCUAUUCACGUUAUACGCAAACCAUAGAGGUAGGCAUUUCGGCACAUCCUAUGGCACCUAGCAGGCUUCUUUGACCCUGUGCUGGUACAUUGAGCAUUUAUUGUAUUUGAAAGGUCUCCUUUACCGCCAUAGGAUCUCGUACCCACAACUGUCUCUUCAACCUCAGCUUAUCAGUGGUAGGAGGGAAGUCAUCCAAACAAAGAUACUAUACUAUUGGCCAUUAGUGCUUAGUGCUUCAGUGUCUUGAUUGGCUAUUAGUGCAUCUUGGCUUUAGAGUGUUGUAUCUCCUCUUUAUUAUUGAGAAGAGGAGCCAACUCGGGGUUGGGGACUCUUCUGUUUGGUCCCUUUGUUUGAGCAGUGGCCAACCCCGAUAUAGAUUAGGAGAAGCGAUAGAAGUGGCUUGAUUCUAUAAAAAAAUCAAUAUGGGGCAUGGAUAUGAGAACAUUCUUCCCUUGCAUUACCCAGCGGUCCAAUUGCAUUGCAUCAAUAGUAGCUGCCUUUAUCUCCGCAUUCACUAAACGAAAUGCUGAACCUCAGUGCUCUACUGUCUUGAACUAUUUUCUUUAGUUGACAUCGAGGGUUUAGUGCCACGUUCAAACCUUUCUAGAAAAUAGAAAAAGUGAAGUUCUCGAAGUCAGCCCAACAUAAUUGGUAUCCCGCUUUUCCCUCAUCUAGUGAAACAAGCUAGUUCUGGACAAGGAAAAAGCAUUAUAUCAGGUUUAAGGAAAGGCAGGAUGCUUCUACACAGUGCGGAUAAGGCUACGGUGCCUUUUACAAGAGAAGGCUCACACCUGCUUUGCUUAACUGACCUUCUCCUUCUAUAUUGGCCAGAUCAGCACGAAACGAGAGAUACUAUGUUCUUCCAAAGCCCGAGGAAGAUGUCGGAAAACCGCCCAAGCUUGAAAUCGCUGACCCCCCUUUUUAUGAUUUCUCAUAUCCUUCUUGUACAAUCAGCCACAGGCCUCCCCUCAUAUGAUCUGCGGCCCAUUGGGAUUCUACUUGGAUCUCCUUUUCCUUCAGCUUUGGACAAAUCGAUUUUCUGGCGUAUUUCAGUUCAGUCAGUAGUGAACCUCUUCCUUCAUUCAAGUUGGACUAGAUAAACACUAGUAUCAAUUGGUAAUCGAGACCUAAACGAAUAACUUCUCGAGGUAAGGUAAGAUCAAUAUCAAUAGGUGGGAGUGAAGUCAGAAGUGAAGGUAGCAGAAUAGAACCUAUGUUGAUGUAGCUUAGCUUUUCCAAUACUUUCCUUUCCGUGCUUUGACCAUGUCGGUUUUCAAGUUCACAAAAGGGGUUUUUCCAGGUCAAGCUCAGAGGCAUUAGCACUUGCCGUUACUUACAGUGUGGAUAGGCCGGCCUCAUCUCAUCUAGUCCUCUGUUCAAUGAAGCCUUGGUAUCUGCUUCGGCCAAUUCAUACUUCAGAUCGAAUCGACGGGACGGUUGACUUGAGUUGGUUUUGUUCCUUCGCGGGGCACUUUUCAUACUCAACUAAAGAGCAGGCGCCUUCCGGGGGCGAGGAAAGAUGGCUUCAUUUCUUUAAUUACAAUCUGUAUUCCUAUCGAUCUGAAGCCAUUGAUUCGAUUUCAUGCACUUUCGUUAUGCGGUCAGAACAAGUAUCAAGAAUAGGUUUAGCCGCCUUUCCGUUGAUCAAUUCGAUCUGUAAAAUAUGAGGUUUUGCAGCUAUAUGAGACAGAAGUUUUCACUUUAUUGACCCACCCUUAGAAACAAAAAAAAGUAAGGUUUUCGCUGUAGCUGGCUUCCACUUUGUUUUUAAAAGGAGGCUGAAAAAUGCCAAUUCCCCUUAGCAAUCCAUUUUGCUUUACUUUUCGCCCUAGCUGGCUUGAAGUGAUCGGAAAAUUGACCAUGAAAAAGGGCAAUUUCCCUUAGCAACGAAAAAAAGUACCAAGUUGCCCCAUGCUGGAUAGAAAGUUUUUUAAAAUGGAGCAGAUUUUGCUCAUUUCCUAAGGGAGAUGACAAGUCUGUACUUUUGUCCCAUGCUGGAUAGAAUGGUGUUUAUAUAUAUAUAAAUGGCUGUUUUUCGUCGAAAAAUCGGGAAAAAGUUCAUCUCACCAUGUGGAAAACCUUACUUUUUAUCAUUCCCUUUGUAAAUGCCUAUUUUCGCGGGGUAUCUUUUUAAAAAAGUUUGAUCCUGGGAAAAGUCAUACUUUUUGUCCCAAUUCAUACUUAUCUUCUGAUCGGUUGCUUUGAAUGUCUGUUCUGUUCUUCCACGGCUCCACUAUUGGUAGGCACUAUUGCGGAUGACAUUGGUCUAUCGAAAGAAAACGGGCACAUCGCAUCAACUAUUUCACUUUGCUAUACGCAUUUCUUGGGAUCAAAAUGGACUCAACAUUCUUUGGGAGCGGCAUUGACGCCACCUCUUCCGAGCGAAGGGACAAAACCAACUCAAGUUGAGUAUACAACAACCUAGGCUAGGCAGGCCGGCGAAUCCAAAAGAUCAGUACGAAAGCUAGGUCUACGAAAGCUGUUCGUUCCUAUUCUCAAUGAAAAGCGAUUGGUCGAUGCAGCCCUGUCUGUGAUAAAGCUAUCUUGCCCUAGUCCCUCCCUUCCGUCUAAGAAGAUAUAUGUACUUCCUUUGGUUUCAGUGGCAUGUUUCUUNGAGCCUAUUUAUCACUUUUAGUACCUGGAGAAGGGAAUGCAUCACCCGCGAGGUAGGAGUGGCUUGCGGGCUCCUAAUGAGGGCAUACAACAUGGGUCUAACAGUAAUCGAGUAAUAAGCUUCAGUGUGGAUGUCCUUUUUGUCAUUGGCAUGACCAUUCGUUUGAGUCAGCUCAUCUCCACCUAUAGACAGCGCAAUUAUUCCGUUACCCUUUUGGCUAAAGAGCAGAACUAAGAAUUGAGCACGCGGUUGUUCUUUAACCGGGUCAGUUCGUCGGUGUUGGUACGGAUGUUAUGGCCUCAUACUUUUUGCAUUUCCCUAGACAAGAGCUAUUGUUAUACGAUGCCGUUGGUAUAGAAUUGACUUUCGCAUCAUAUCGAGCAAUGGCAUUGAGCCUGAGAGAGAUGCUGAAGGACAACUACCAUACUCUCCCACCGAACAGAGAGAAGCAGAGGCCCUCGCGGAAAGAAUGAAUCUAGUAUCGACGGAAUGGUAUCUAUCUUCUUAAUAUUCGUUUUCCGGGGGAAUGAGCCAACCCACACAAGAGUGCCUACUAGCUUGUCACGAACGCAGAGGAAAAGAGGUAAGAUACCCCCGCCCCCGAGCCGGGACCCCUUCUGGAACUUCUUAUAGUCGGUUGAACCAACAGCCUUAAGCCAAUACUAAAUAAAGUCAAAGUGGAAUAUGGAAAGCAAGCGAUAGAAAAGGAGGAGAAAGAACCACGAUAACCAGAUGUCGAAGCCAGCUUGAGAUGAACAUUAGGAAAGAAAAACAGUGAUUCAACGUUAUGAGUACCCUCCCUUAAUAAAUAAAUAGAAUAGGGGCCAAACAAUUUCCUUCAAUUUGAGUAGAGUGCGUUGGCUGGAAAGUAGUAAAGUCGAAGUGAACCUCUAUUUCGUAAAGGAGAGAUAACCCCGAACUCGAGCUACUUCAUUCUCUAAUAGGCUUGUUGUACCCGGUCUUGCUAUUGACUCCCUAGCUAGCUCAGAAGGAAUGCCUAACUCUGUUGGGACAGAUUGGACAGUUGGAGCAGCCGAUAAACCAGCCACAGCAGAAACAGAAUGACUAGUUUCAACAAGGCGAGCAGGAGAAGCUACUCUCUUUUUAGUCGCAUCCGUGGAAGGAAAGGAUUUUGAUAUCGCAUAUCGAACCGGUGAAGCAAAUGACUUUCUCGAGUGAAACGAAUAGGUCUGGUGCUUCCGAGCCAGCAAGGGGACUAGUUUCAACAAGGCGAGCAACCCCUGCUAUAUGUAUGUAUCCAGGACUAUGAUGUAUCCAGCUCAGUUGGAAAGCACUAGUUUACUUCCUCGCUACCGACCCAGGUACAUUCUUCUUUGGACAUGCCCGACCCUAGCUUAUUGGACAGUUGCAACGAAACGAGUAGGUGUAUCGACCAGGACUAGUAGUUUUACUAGGUGUUCUAAGGGGUAGAAUGACUAGUAGUUACAGCCGUGGAAAGAUAUCUAAUUCAUUUCGGCGCCCUUUCCCCGCCUGGAGAAGGUAAUCUACCACGAGACCAUACAAACAGUGGAAACUCCAUUUUCCGAGAUACUAUUACUCGACCAGGAAUCACCAACCACUAUAGUUAGAUUUAUUCGAUUUCUUGGAGGUUUAAGGGACAGAUUCCAUUCUUCAAAUGUUGAGCUGUAUUCUAUUCAUUCUAUCUUUCUUUCGGCUUCCUAUGGUUCCACAUGGAUUGGUCGACUCAGCUUAAAUAAAAGAGUUAUAGAGUUCAGUUUCUACUGACUCCUCCGCAUAGCCAAGAAGAUCAGAAGAGAAGUCAGAAUUGGUUUUUCCAAAAACUACCCAUGGGAUUUCUUUGUCUUUUCCUUAUCUUUUGUCCGGUGAAGAAUCUCCUGCUGCAGAGAUAAGAUGAAUGGCUUCGAGAUACCAUCACUCGUCAUUGCCAAGGAAAUGAAUUGCAAAUUGGCUACUUAUAGUCUACACUUCCCCUGAUUCUCCACGAUGACCCGCAUUCAUUGAUUGAGAGAAUAAGCUGAAAGCCAGAUAGAUCCAUUGCGAUAUUGGUUUGGAAGAGAAGCCGUGGAGACAGCUCAUUGUUCCUAUGUCCGGAAUUGUUAAAGAAUGAAGGUACCCCGUUGACUAUGUCGGGUAACGCUGACUUAGGUUAUCCAAGGCCUCUAUCAACCACAUCAUAACUGUUUGCUUCCGCUUUCCUCGCAGAGUUGGUUCUAGCUUUCACCGAAGGAUCUCGAUCGAUGCUCGCCAUCAAAAGAUAUGGGUCUAGCUGCUGCCCUAGCCGGAAAGAAUGGGAGAGUGAGCCAUUCAUACUUCAAAGAGUGAUUAGUUUUUUAAGUAAGCCCAUCAAAUUAAGAGGAAAAAGCUGGAAGAAGACGACGGGAUUGUUGAUAGAUCCCCUCUACAUCCUAACCAAGAGGACCAAGUGCAAACCUCUGUCUCCAAGUCCAUCUCGCCGGGUGGAAAGGUUAUUCUUUGCCAGUAGUGCCCUCUGUAGGAAGAAUCGUAAAUGCCGGAGGACGCGUUCAACAUGAAUUGUCACUGUGGAAUGAAAUCACCUCUCGAAUCGAGCAAGAAAUGACUAUUUCUUUUCUAAUAGCGACUUAUCACAAAAAUAACCGAUUGAUACUGUCUUCACAAGGUGGUGCUCGUCCCAAAAGCUACCGAAUUGGCCUAUCAUCAGUAUCCAAUCCAGAUCCCCGUAGGAAAGAAGCUAGAUUUCUCUCUAUUUCAUAGAGUUUUGACUCGAAAGCCUUUGCGCAAGGUAAUCUAUUGACAGAGAGAGAUGCUCCUCCUGCUUGAUAGAAGCAUUAGUUAGUAUGUUAGCUAUAGCCUUCACACAGUCGUCUGGAAUAGAUAGAGAAAGAGAUAAGCUGCACCUGAGUGAUCGAUGCAAAAAAGGAGAAAUUGCUUGUUCGGUUCAACCGAAGCCUAAGACUAAGACUGCGUAGGAGUCAACUGAUGAUCCUACUUUUGCUUUUGCUCCUUGGCUCGGACCCACAUUUCAUCGGAAAGAAAGCGAGGUCUUGGCAGUCCAGUGUCAGCUUCUGAAGAUGGUCAACUCAUCAAAGCGGAAGAUAAACCAGUAUCUAUUGAUGGCGAGCCCGGAUAAUUGAAACAAGCAAGAUACCAUCUCUUCUUUAACUGAACUGAACAGAGCAAACCUCAACCGAUGCGGCCAAAGAGCAAGUGGACUGAACUGCUCUCCCUUACUAUGAAUAAAACGGAGAGUAGAACCGAACACUUGAAGCUCUAAUUACCAGUAUCUUUGGAUACGGAGACCGAGGAAGAGUUCCUCCAAUCUCUUUAAACACACUAUAAUUGGGGGUCCAGAUUCCAGGUCGGAACCCACGUUAUCCCUUGUUUAAGGGGAAUAGAUGAGAUCCAUGGCAUAUACCUCGUAACUAACAGAGGCAGACCCGGUUUAAUGACACCUUUCACAAUAUCAUUAACCCGAACCUCGUCCUCAGCAGUCAGAGGCGUGAUAAUUGACGCGAACGUCCUCUUAUACUAAAUAUCUUUUUAUCCAGCUAUUAUGAUGCUCGCUUCUCUUCGGUUGGAUUCCUCUCGAAGAAGGAAAUUGUGCUUCUUCAGUUCUACAUUCAAAUUAUUGUGAGUAGAUGGAUACCAGGCCUUUUCUGAGAAACUUGGUUUCGGGAACUUUGUGGGAUCCUUGGUAGAGCCAUUUGGAGUGGAGGGUAAUCGGUUUAUGACAAAGACUGUGCUUUCAAACACGACACCCAGGGGAAUGGAGGCUUUGUACAUAGUUGCAAGACGUUGCUCUACAAUGUGUCGGUGUUGACGCUCUGCAAGGCAAGGCAACGGCUGAGGCAGAGCCACCAGGCCUUACUGCUCCUUAUCUCAUUUCUUUGGAAAGGCAAACCUAAUUCAUACGGAACUCUUGGUACAUUUCUUUUUCACUCUCGCCCCGGCGAAAGCACACAAUGCAGAUCCAUGCAUGGGAGCUAGUUCAAUAGGCCUCUCGGUGAAAUCGCCUACUUUACUUUUUAUACGAAAUUCGUUGCACGUAGAUCUUCCAUUUAUUGGGAAUUCGUUCGACGACCGUCUGAUUCUAAUUCACUUCCAUCCUUUAGCCAUGUCUCUUGAUCGAUACCAUCCACGUGUCUUUUAUUCUUUAGAAAAAGAAAAUGCAUUGCGACUUCCUCUUUUCUGAUUUGCAUUCAAGUAGAUAAGAGAAGCUUGUGGGGAUCGUCAAGAACAAACUUAGACCAGUUCAUAUUUGUGCCUGCACAACUGAAGAGGUCAAGAGCAAUAGGCCCAUACGGAUGCGCUCACCUUGGCCCAGGGUUGGCCCUUGAAAAGGAUACAAAAAUCUGAGAUAGAGUGGAAUUCUUUUCGCUAUUGCAUUCCCUGUAGAUCGGUUCAGCCCAUUUCUUGUAGCAUACAUUCGAAGAUAAACCAUUUAUCCAAUCUGCAGCUGUACGCUGAGAAGGAAGGGGCAGCAGACCCGACCGUUGCUCGUACUCGGUUUUCUAUGGAAGGUCCCGAGUCAGCUAAAAAACUAGAAAAUCAACAGCGAUCGAUCUCAGGGAUCAGCCCAUCUGAUCUUUUAUUUGAUUGGGAUUGCGGUUUCGCUGGGCUUACUUUCUUGAUGAGGUUUAAGGUAUAGCAAGUAAGGCGAUGCCUCCUCCCUGAUUGCAGAAAUUGUUGACUUUAGAAAAGGUUCAACAAGAACUAUAGCAAUAAAGGAGCUUCUCCAGUUCCACAGGUCAAGGUACAAUGGUAGAACUUGUCUCCUUGAAUGGCUACUUUGGGAAGACAGACCUCUCCCUCGCUUAUCGCAUGGCUGUCUUUCCCCUCUACGAAUGCCCAAAAUCGGGUCGAUUUUUAAAAACAUUCCCUCCGGCUAUAGGCCGAAACCACGCUCAAGUGCUUCUAUAAGUUAUUUAUUACUCGAAAGCCGGUUGCUUUUUUAACGAUAAAGCCGCCUCUACUAUGCUCGCCAUCAACUGAUACUGGUUUAGCUUCAGCGGAAGGAUGGGGAAUCAGGAGAACAUGGGGGGAGGAAGUAGCUACGCCUAACUCAAGAUCUAGGAAAUGCUUAGUAAGGUAUCCCCGGUAUUUACUGAUUCUUGCUGUCCCUAUAUAUCUGUAAUGAUCGCUCUGGCUCUGGGCCGUAUGAUCUUCGGGAUGCAGAAUAGGGGAUCGCUUGUAAAAUGGACCAGCUCCGUAUCAACGAAUCUUCUCCGUUCUUAUUUUGACCUGUUGUAUUAUUUCCUAGGAGGAAUACAAUGCUCUUCCGUUCUUUCCAAUGACAAACAGGAAGUCAGGUUGAAAAUGUCAUUCCGUGUUGGUAACUUAAUUUGGGUCUGGGAGGCCGAAGCUACCGAUCAAGCUCCAUUUUAUAGAUUUUAUAGCUCAGCCCUCUUUCUAACAAUUCAUCACUGAUUUCCCCGAUAUUUGCCUCGGAAAGGGGAAACAAGAUAUCGAUUGAAUUUACCCGCACCAUCACCACUUUUGAAAGAGAAAAUAAGUGUUCAGCUGACCCAAAUUCCGAUCGAAAAAACAAAAACUUAUGGAUUGAAUGAUUUCGACAAGCGAAAUCGACUCGGAACCAAGGGGAACAAGACGAGAUUCCGUGUUCACUUAUCGAUUCCAAAAUGAAUCGAAUUCGUGAACUUUAUAACGAUAUUACUCCUCUUCCUUACGGCUCCCCUGUGCCUAGUGAUUUCUCGUGCUCGAUUCAUCCCAUUCUAGUAUAUCUACUCGGCUAUCCUUAGAAAAGUCAAAAGAUAAGGAGCUCAACCUGUGGAAAUCCUACUACCAUCGGCUGUCACAUUCGUUCCCACUUACCGCAGGGAUGGAUCAAGUAACUGGUGAUUCUUUUCAAGGUCAGAUGCUUUUUGGGCUUAUUUUCUCAAAAAUCUUCAUUUUGAUCGAAAAAACCCGGGGUUAGGCGAAUGCGCGGGUACUCUUGAUCUGGCUGCUCCAUGUAAAUUUCCUCAUCCAACUCCCCAUUAAGGAAAGCCGUCUGCCCAUCUGAUGAACGAGAAGACCGUGCGAGGCAGCCCGUGAUAGUAGUACUCGAAUGGUGGUAAAUCUAGCCACAGGUGAGUAAGUAUCAAAGAAAUGCCUACUUUUGCUGCUAUGCGGAUGGAGGACUUUUGGGCCUGGCAUUACGAGAAAUCGGGACAGUUCUCUGUCCGUUCUGCUUACCGGAUGUUGAUAAAAACGAAGCAGCGACGGGGUACCCGCGGAUCCACUAUGCAAUAGACCACUCGGGUAGUGUUGCCAUAGGCGACACGCAGAGCCCGCACUGUCAGAUGGGAGAGCGCCAACGGCCUUUGGACGAUGUCAGGAACGGGGGACCUUGAAGGAUCAGGAAGAGAAACAUCUGAGCCACCGUCAGACUCAUCACCGUCGGAGCCAGCGUUGUCAGGCGCCUGAAUAGCAUGGGAUCAGUCCAUCAUCGCCCGCAGCUUCACUUCACUUCAGUUCAGCUCAGCAUACUAGGGAGACCACGGGGAAUGUGAGAGUACUGACAUAUGACCCAAUCGCGACAAAGCCUUGUGCUGCAACAACUGUGGCUAGGGAUAAGAGUUCCUCGGCUGCUACUUCCAAUAACUAAGCUCGCGUAAAAGUAUUAGUUAGCGGGUCUUGGUUGAAUAGUGGAUCUUGGUUGAGAAACUCAUAGAUAGAGAUUGAUCUGUUUGCUCUCCGCUUAGUGGUUUCUUACUCGGUCUCCUCAUCUGAAUAGAUGGUCGCACGCUUCAACUAGAAUCCAAACCAUAGUAGAACGGGGGCUCAAAAGGAAACUUCAGAGCUGGAAUAUAUAAUCUCCAGUAGUACACUUAGCCCUUCGGCCUUAUUUCAACUUGAACAUGAAUUUGCAGCACAUUUUGGCGUUAUUAUAUUAACAUAAGCAUUGAACACUGACGGCUAGCCCAUACAUGCAAACACAAGAAAUCAAACCAAACAAAGACACUUAGCAUAGGAGUAGAUCGGAAUCAAACUAAGACAAAGAACACCUGACAUGAAAACAAAUGUCUCCAGACACUUAUUGAAUUUAAACCAACCUUAGAAAACUAAAAAGAGUCUACGGACUCUUCUAUUCUAGCGAGAUGCUAGACGAAUAAAGAGCACUUGCUGCUCCACCCGCAGCGCUUCCUGCCUCUCCUCCAAACCCUCUAUGCGCUCUCUGGUAGCGCGAAUGCGCGCUUCUUUCUUUGCAGGAUCCAUUGUUCUAACACUUCUCAACUGGUUGUUUAGCACUCUACGGUGCCCUUCAAUCUCAUUUUUCAGUUGCUCCGUUUCGGUAGCAAUUGCAGAAAGCCUGUUUGCGGUUGCAGCAUCCAUAGCAAUGCGUGCUAGUACUCAAUUUCUUUGUGAUGAAGUGAAGAUAUCUAUAUACCAUUUAUAGAGUGGUAGAGUAAUAUCGCCAUGCAGUACGAAUUGCAUGGCUGCAUGCAGCCUUUAUGAACAAACAAACUUUGCAGAGCCGUUUCACCUAAUCGAUUCCGUCGGCGGAUCAUCCACGUCACGAAUUGAAUGGCAGGCACAAUUCUUACUAGUUCUCCGCCCUACUUUUUUCAGUUGAAGACUAUCAGGCCUGGAAAUGGAAACUUUGGACCCGGGAGACGGUUUGAUGUCUCGUACAUAGCCAGCCCAGGGCGCUGCCCAUAAGGGUCACUGUAUGUAGGUUUUAAGCUCUAAGGUCCCCACUCAUCACAAUCGUUGGCCCUCAUCCCGCAUUGGAGCAUAGCGUUAGUAUCUUUCGGUGUAUCAACAACAUAGGCACCUGAUCUAUUUGAACUGUAAACCACAAGGGAAGUUUUCACAUAAGCUGCCUUUCUCCCGUUAAAAGGUGGGUACCUUUCCCUAAAUCCUUCUCCCGUGCAUGCUAUUCUCCUGUUCCCCCGAAGGGCGGUAUCAAUACGGCAACCCGAAAGCUCGUUAUCAAAGUGGUCUCUUCUCAAAAGCUUAUCUGCCAGAUGAAAACAAGUUCGUAGUAACAGGUGGCCGUUGAGCUCCUAGUUUGACUGUUGGUGCCAGACUAGAAUGGAAGAAUGCCCAUAAUACUGAAAUGAAGAAGAAUACCUCACUAAUAAGAAAUAGAGCAACACCCAUUGUGCUUCCUUUCUUUUACUAGAGAGAGUAGUCCAAGCCUCUAAAUAUCUUGAGGGCUUUGUGUUGGAUCUGAUGGUUGAGCCUUUGUUCUUUGCGAGCCUUGCCUUUCUCUUUUUUGCUCUGCUGUGGAGUUCUUUGAUGGUCUAUCUUCGCACCUGGCGCUUCUGGCGCUUUCUUCCUUCCACCUUCCUCUUGUACUCGACUCUUCCCCGAUCACUCCCCGACAAAGGCUUGCUCGUCUUCGUCAUAGUCCAAACUCUUUCUCGUGUGACUGUGGUGCUUUCUUGAGCGAUGACUUGGGAGGGUUCCGGUCACCCCUACCCGGGCAGACAACCUCCCUCAUUCACAUCAGAAAUGGCAAAGAUUCCAUUUUGGAAAGUAAAUCUCUUUUUGUAUAGAGGGACGUAAAAUAGCAAAAGUACGGUUCGGAGUCUUUUUUUUUUCUUGAUUAUUUGAAAUCCAAAUCGAAAUGCCUCAACUUGAUAAAUUGACUUAUUGGGGGGGGGGGGGGGGGGGUUAUGUCUUCUCCUCUUUACUUUUUAUAUUCUCUUAUUUAAUAAUAAUAAUGGAAUACUUGGAAUUAGUAGAAUUCUCAAACUACGGAACCAACUGCUUUCGCGCCGGGGGGGCGAGAUCCGGAGCAAGGACCCUAAGAAUCUGGAAGAUAUCUCGAGAAAAGGUUUUAGCACCGGUCUCUCAUAUAUGUACUCCAGUUUAUCCGAAGUAUCCCAAUGGUGUAAGACCGUCGACUAUUUGGGAAAAAGGAGGAAAAUCACUCUGAUCUCUGAUUUUUCCGAAAUAAGUGGCUCACGAGGAAUGGAGAGACAGAUUCUCUAUUUGAUCUCGAAGUCCUCAUAUAACACUUCUUCCAGUCGGAUCACUUGUUGGAAAAACAUAAUGCUCACACAUGUUCCACACGGGGAAGGAAGCAUAAUAUUAUGAAAAUGAAUGGAAUCAUUGACUUACACCACGAUAUCUUUUGCUUCUUGUUAUGCUUUACUUUUUUUAGUAUUUUCUUUAUGGAAUCAUCCGGCCAGAAACGGGGAAGAGCCCAUGCUGUCGUAGAGGCCUCGUCGAGUGCUUCCGCUCCGCCAAACAAAGGAGAUGAUGAUCCACGAAAAAAAAAAGUGGGACGUCAAGACGCCAAUGGCAAAGAUGGGUUUCGGUCAGAGCCGCCCAAAAAUGGGGCGCAACCUGAAGUACCAUCCAUUUCUUUCUUAAGGAACAGAAUUAAAACAGUUCUAAGGUCCUGUCGAAAUAGGGUUCCUAAGGAGAGCACAUUACGCUCGACUUACGAGGAUCUUCACCUUGAAACGGCGAGCGCCGAGAAACGGGUCAAAAUCGCCCAGGUCCUCGAAGAUAUGUCCAGGCGAAGCCAAUAUUUUCGGAGUAACAAAAGGGAGCAGCCCCAUACCGACUUGAUUAUUCAAAUCUGCGAUUGGGAGCGGGAUCACCUACGAAAAAUAAAUUCACUGGUGUAGGUUUCUCAUAGGAAACCGAGGCCCCUACCUACCUUAUGGGUAGGUAGGGGGAAGGAAGAGUGGGAACGCGGGCUUUCUUCAGGUGCCAUUCUGUAUUUUGUAGAGUCCGGAAGAAUGGUGAAAAACGGGCUGUUUCGAAAGAAACUAUGAAAAAAGAAGAUUUCUCGUCCAAUCGGACAGGGCUCGCGAACCUAGUAUAGUGGGAUGAACUCCGCGCCUGCCUGAAAGAUAGAAUACUGACUUCCAGAUUGAUACGAUUGGUAUCGGAAUCCGGGUUAGGAGAAGGAAGCUCGGGUAUUGUUGGAAGCAAGCAGUUGCCAUCGGAAAGUUAGAUUUGGUAAACAGAAGUGUUUACUCGACAAUAAGCAAUAAGCAGAAGUGGGAAUAAGAUUGGUAGCGGGAAGUGAUAACUCUUUCUUUGCAGUCUUUCUACUCGGUAUCGAAACUCGGAUCUCUAGUCUGGAGAAUGGCCUGUCUUUCGUAUCACAGGUCUUGCGUUUCUGGUCAGGCUAAGGAAGUCGCGGAAAACGAGGCCUGAAGAGAAGUCCACGCGUGAUGACCAAUAUUCAUCAGAACCCUCCCUCGGUCAGCGUAGUGCCAGCAAGGAAUAAAUCAGAAGGGCAAGCAGGUUUCAAUCAUUUGUUUUUAGCAUCUCCACUAUAAAGAGUAGAGAGAAAGAAGCCUUUCGCAUCUGGAAAGAGGACACCCACUACAACUUAUUAUCUUAGGGGCUUGCUUCUUGUGAAGAACUAAGGCAGCUCAAAUGAAUGCUCGCCUACUCAUGUAGCUGUCUCUUCUUAUUUUAUUGCGUAAUAUGAAUUGUAAAUGCUGAAAAAUUAUCUCUCUAUAAAGUAAAAAAAAGAAGAGUUGUCAAUUCGGUAAACUCAUUAAAAAAAAAGAAAUGAACAGUCUCACUAUUCGAUGAACUAGGGUGGGCCAGGGAACUCGUAGCUUAUGCACGCGCACGAGGCAUGAAAAAGGAGGAAAGUCAUUACAUAGGAAAGGAGCACACGCCAUAGAGGAAUUAUCAUGUUAUGCCUGGUAAAGAAGCACACUGACUUCAGAAGAAAGAAAGGAAGUCAUCCCAGUCAUCUACUAUUUUCUGCCACUCAAAUCCUGAUGGAUUGAAGAGGAAUGGAGCGAAUAGCCAAGUGAUAACCAAGAACCCUGAAAGGGCGCGGGAAGAGCCCAAGGUUAUCCCAAUUCCUAUGAUCCUCGUAAAAAGAGAGGAUGGAUUGAGAUACCCCUUUGCUAACUCCAUAGUUAGGAGAGGUGCGUCUGCGGUGAGCAUAAGAAGAUUGCCCUGAUAAUGGAAUUCCGGAUCCGCCGGGGUGAGUGAUUUUCUUAGGACUGUCAAAAGAGCUCAAGUUUGGCUGAUAGCGAACUCCACCAAACGUGAUACCCUCCCCAAUGGGGGAUUGACCCGAGUAUUUAGUCAUAUUCUUCUUAGGAGGCUCCCUUCAGCUUGUGAAUCUAUUCUAGGAUCAAUGCAUAUACUCAGACAGGUUCGAUCUGGCUUAAGCUUCAAUCCGUCUAAAUAGUGUAGCGAGGGACUGGAUAGAAUUUCCUAUUUGGAUACCAAACCACGAUCAAAGGUUGUAGCUAACGGCUUUUUAGUUAAAGCGCACUAAUACGAUACGAACUUUCUUCCAUAGGCCGAUAUGCUCAUACUAAGUGCUGUAAUCUCUCAUUCAUGCGCAUUAAGGAAAUUGUAAAGAAGAAAGUCAAACGCUCUACGCCUCGUCGAAUAAGAGUGUUUCCGGAUCAUAUCUAUUCUUCUCGGGUACUCUUUCUUAAUGAGAAAAUCAUAACUUGAUCCGAUCUUUAUGUCGCACAGUGGUGUCCCAGGCUAGGGCUGCAGGUCCAGCAUAAGAAUCUAAACUAAAAAAGUAUGUUUACGUGGUCCAUAAAUAAUGGUGACAGAAAUCCCUCCUACUGCGCCUCAACUUGGACUGGAGCGUCUCUAGGUAUUGAAUUAAAGAACGGGUUUCGCUUUGCUUUGGGGGGAGUCCUGGUGGGGAGAUAUGCUAGCAGGUAAUGGCUCAGCUUCUACUUAAAAAGCGUUUUAAGCGGGUUUCCUUAUUUAUUUGCGGGUCUCUCGUACAAGAUUCUAUCAGUUACAGCGGAUUCAAGGGAUGGAGCCAGAUCUACUAUCCGCUUGCUGUCCCUAAGCUGAUAAUUGCCCGAGCCUAUUUGUUUUUUUCCGGGGAGGGGCACAUAGCGAUAGAUACUUUAGAAACCUAUCACUAAGAAGCGGGCUCACUGAAAACCAAACUGUUCGUAUUUCUUUAAAACGCUGCUGCCCUAGUCGGGGGUCUGUCUAUAGAAGAAGGGAAUCCAGAGGAAGAAGCAGCUCCCCGAAGGAAUCCUUCUAACUACCACCUACCUACCUCCCGCUUUUGUUCGGACAAGGCGAGUUUCCUAAGAUUCACCCACCGCGGAUACACUAAGCGUUCUUCCCGUUGGUAAAUCUGAUUCUUGCAAAUCAACAUCAGACUUAGAAGCUUCAUGGGGUCUGGUCUCGCCAUUUGGCAAUUUAAGCCAAACAAAAUACAGUACAGAGGUUAUAACCAAUACACAAGCAGGCGUGAACCAGUCAGAAAUUAGAAUGGAGAAGUAGACACAGAAGAGGAGGUGUUGGGACAGUAUCGAUAGCCGCCUUUUCACUUAUUGCUAGGAGUGAUUGUGAGAGAAUACAUAACAUAGGUGAAAGCCAAAAGGCAUAUAUGACCCGCUCAGCCCAAUGGAAGUGAUUUGAAACUGACGUUUCUUUAGAAUUCGAUUAAGAAUAAGAACAUAGACCGGCUUCUAGAAAAAGAGACGUGCCCUCUUCUCUAUCUGUAGAUUCAGGAGCAACAUGCUGGUUCCUUUUGUCAUAAUACCUAACGGCUGUGGGCAGAAUGAAUGAAAAAGCAGAUGAAAGACACUAUACAUACCAAUAGAAUGAGAAAUAUAGAAUAAAGCUAGGUGACGUCACGGCAUUUGAGAACCAAUUGCUUCUUUUGCUUUUCACCAACCUUCAUGUACAAUCUUAUUUCGUAUUGGAGUACAGCCUAUCGUAGGCCCAGCAAAGGCAAGACGGAAAGCAAGCAUUAAGUGAAGAAGCAAGGUCCAAACAAAGUAGUGAAAGAUUGACAUUGAAAAGCUUCUCCAUGUCUAUAUCUGUCCGAUGGACCAAGUUCAAAGGAAACGGCUUCUCUACUGCAUCAAAAAACCAAUCCAAGCCUGAAAAGGAGAGUUGCGGUUAACGAUUCCUAUAAAUUGAGAAAGAAGCAUGUUCUUCAUGCCCAAGGAUAAAGUAGAUGGAACCAGUUCUCUAACCUUCUUUUUGUAGCAGAUACUGCAUAAAGUUUACCUGCCUUGUAAGGCUUUUGUAGGAUUAAUCAAAUUUUCUUUUUCUCGUUCUAUCUCAGAGUAUCCAUUCAUUCGAUCUUGCUAUCCGCUCUCAAUUGAAUCCCUUCUCUGUUGUCGACAGGUGUGUCCGCAUCAGGACCAGAAUCACGGUCUAGUACCUCCGUACUCGAAUACCUCCUACUUUAUUAAUUAGGAAGUGAAGUAGGGAAGUGUUUCCUAUUCAAAGUACAGUGCCUUUGGUACAUUGGUGCAUUGGGGAUUUCCAGGUAGCAGGUCGGUUGAGUGAGGGCUCCAUCCAUAACAGAUAUAGCUAGCGCACAGGAUCUCCCUUCUGCGAACAAAAGGACAAAAGAGCCGGGUCGGGCGUUGAUUCGCCGUUGCUAUCAGUCGGUCUACUCGUGCCUGCUGCUUACUUUCUCGAUCGAUGGAAUCGGUGAUUCAAAAACCUAACAUCCGUAAGGAGUCUCAAUCGUAGCUCACUCGUUGCCUUACUCUCCCACAAGAUCACACUAAAUACAAUAGGUGCGUGAUCUACUAGAUUCUUAUAUAAGAAAUUUAUAACCUUAGUUGAUAGACAGGAACCACCAUCCCAUAACAAAAAAGGGGGGCGAAGGUUAUUUUGUACCAAUGAAGACGGAUUUAUCUCUCGAGCUGCUCAAAGAUCUUUAAGUGGCUUACGAGGUAGACUUGAUCAUGAUCCAUAUCCAACCUUCUCCCAUCUGCUUCUGUCUCUAAAGAUUAGAGUCAUCGACGCGAUUCAAGUCCAGUGCUGAUAAAAUCCUGCUGUCCAGUUCGGGAAAGCAAGUGAUUGAUUAGUUCCAUUGGUCUAUUGGCUUCAGCUUCCAGUCUACCUCAUUUCUAUCAAAAUGAUCUGGUGUCUAUGUCCAUGCCUGAGGUUGGUAAACCCUAUAUCUAUUGCAAACGAGCUUUUCGGAAGGGACAGCUUGUAAUCCACGACUUACUACUACGAGGAUUCUGGCGGAGUGCUUUUCACAUAUAGAUAGGUCGGGACGAAGAAGCUCCGUAGUCAACUAAUAGAUAGAAAAUCACAGUAACCUUUUUCCAACAGUUUCACCAUGAUAAGAACAACCUUGUCAUACAUGAUAAUUAUGGGCUUUCUUCCUCCUUCUUUAUAGUCUGCAGUUCAAUCUGCCAAGUCCGAUUCAUCUUUUUCCAACCCUUCCUCAAUUGGCAGUUUCGAGGUCAGAGUUUCCGUUUCUUAGAAAGCCACUUGGCUUCUCUAAGCAUGCAUGCCGACAUAGGUGUCGCGGUAAUCACAGAAGUUUGAUUGCUGUGUGGUAAGGGGUCAGUCAACCAAUAAAGACAAUUGUUAAGGGGUAAGGCUAAGCUCUCUUUCUCGUUAAGAAAGCGGUCCAUCCUAAGAGACUAAGAGAUCGGCAUCAUACUAAGGACUGUGUCGAGCAAGGUCCGAAGGGAUUUGAAUUCCACCGAUUCCCAGGUAAAAAGGUUAGUGGCAACACCACCAUUCGAAAGAAUGAGCACCUGUCAUGCACGAAAAGAGCAAGCUGGCGGACUGAUUUCGCAGAGGACCAAGAACCUCAAAUUCCCCUCCUGCUGAUCCCGGCACGGAAACAGAAGUUAUCCGAACCGAGCACUUCCCGUCGACAGGAGAACCCGAGUGCAACCAGAUAAGAGUUCGCUUUCGAAAGACGACAAUGGCAAGUCUCAAUCAACUGUCAUUAGAUCAAUAGUAAACAGGAGAUUGCUUUGCGUAUCACGGAUCGAGCACACAAUAGAAUGCUCGAACUACACUCUCCUAGCAUCAGGCCUAUGGUCCAUCCAAGGACAGAGCUGUAAUCAGCGCCUUUCUCAGAUCUUCAGAUAGACAGAAUUCGUCGUACACGCUUAGCCAUCUCGCCCGAGGGACCCUUCCCCAUAGUCCCGGCAUUUCUAGUUCCGGCUAACCAAGACCCUGAAGGCAGAUGUUGGAACCGCUUCUCGAACAGGAAUCACAGACCCAACUCAUGCUCUUGUUCUUUUUUACUCCGUUUUUUCGCAAGAUGCAAGGACAAGAAACGCUAGUUUUCAAUCAGGCCGAACUGUUUGCUUCUUCUUAACUGAGAAGCCAACCCAGCCUUAAGUGAAUAGUGCAAGCAUCUGCCAUCAGCAUCAUUCCUAAUAGUUUUUGCUGAAAUAAGUGUAACUGCCUUGUACCCGCAGCUGGAGGAUCUUCUCUCUAUGGAUUCCUGAGAAAUGGAAAGUACCAUUCUAUACCCCUUCCCUAGCUUAAGCCCUAUAGACCAGUGUUGUUAGAGUCCCGGGUUGGUAGAGCUUGGACCACCGAUUUGAUAAGCACGUCUUUUCUGCCUUCGACAUGGAGCACCUCUUUUCUGGCAUAAGACAAUCUCUUCUCGCACCAGCCCUACCUACAUCAGUGAUUGCUCGAAAGAACUUAUUAAUAUAGAGGGAAGCCGCCUGGGCUGAAAUGCUAGGAAAAGAAGGGUUUCAAGUCUGUUCCCAUUCGGGAAUUGCAUAUUAGAAGAAGUGAUGUUCACUAGCAUUUGAAAUGGAAGAUACCGACUACUGAUGGAAGAAAUCUGGAACUGAGCACGGGCAAUAGCUGACAGAACGUCACAGACCACAGAGAAUAGGGCGCCCAUCUCUUCACUUUCUUAAAGCAAUGCGUAAGGCUUUCGGCUUUCACCUUUCUUUGUAAAACAAACCCAAUAUCUUGACUUCCCAAUGUCGCCAAUGUCGAUAGGCCGGGUACCAUCUUGACUUUCCAAUGUCGCAAGUCAAUCAGAAAAGGAGAAUCCGGGUACUGUCAACCAAGUUCAGAUAACCAAAUAAACCAGUAUAGUAUCUUUGGAUCAAUUGAGAAGCUUCAAGUCCGUUAUUAUCUCAAUCCGUAUAUUUUGCUUUCUUUCGCGCGGGAAGCGCAAGCCCUUGCUUGUGGGUCCUGAUCGAGCAAGACUACGUCCUAUCUAUCUACACCUCUCCAAACACAAUAUCUUGAGUACCCGGAACCAUGUUCAGUGCUGCAAAAGCGCAGCUGUAGCCCCCUAGAAUCUUCGGCUCCUCGUUUUUAUUCAAUUAUGAAAUGACUCAUUUUGAUGGAGAUUUGUAGCAUCAUUCAAGUAAAUACAAAUUGAGAUCGUAGAAACAUGAGCUUGUGAUAUAGCUACACCUAAUUCCAGACCGGUUAAUGCUAGAACUAUAAAUAAGGGACCAAGAUCUCCUAUGAAAUAGAAAAUAUUAUUCAGAAAUAGCAUAGUCCAAGCAAACCCACUUAAAAUCUUUACUAAACUAUGACCGGCCAUCAUAUUAGCAAAUAAACGUAUUCCUAAGCUUAAUGCACGAAAACAAUAAGAGAUUAGCUCAAGGAGUACUAAGAAAGGUGCUAACGGCAGUGGGACUCCCGCAGGUAAUAAGAAGCUAAAAAAAUGAAGCCCAUGUCUUUGAAAUCCAACGAUCGUAAUGCCUAUAAAAAUGGAAAAUGAAAGAGCCAAAGUAAUGAGAAAAUGACUUGUCACUGUGAAGCUAAAGGGUAUCAUACCCUGGGGAUUACGAAAUAACGAAAAAGUAAAAGUGACCGAGAUGCGAGGGAAAAACUUUUGUUUCACAUUUCCGGAAAGACCACCUAUUUGUUCGUUUACCAGGUUCAGCACGAAAUCAUAAAUAAGCUCGACCAAGGAUUGCCAUGCAUUUGGCACUGACUUUCCACCUCCCUUUUUCGUAACAACAAAAAACAGAAAAACGACCAAAACGACAGUGAGCAGCAUAUACAAGGACUGAUUUGUAAAUGAUAAAUAAUAGUUGCCCACAUUCAGAUCAAUUAUUGGCUGAAUGGUAAAUUGAUCCAAUGGGUUCUCCAAUAAAUUCUGAUUCGGAGCAGGCUGCUGAAAGGCGUCAACAACUGAUCGAGGGGAGGUAUCCCCGAGAAAAGGACUAUUCGGAUCACUGAAAGGACUAUUCGGAGCACUGACUGGGCUAUCCGGCAGUAAGCCUUCGGCCUUACAUAUUUCGUGAUAAAGAUGAGCCACGCCCGAGUCCCAAGUGACGCUUUCGUGCCCUUUUAAAUGUAAAUCUACGAAACUACCCCAGAGACUCCGGGGAGAAUCCAGGCCGAAAAACUGGUCACAAAACUCUCUAACAUUAUAGGCCGCUGGCAAAACCAUUUGUGCCUGCCGUAAGUAUAAUUCUAUCAUUUUUGUGAUUUCAGAAAACACAAGCUCUCUAUUUUCGGGUGAAAUGCCAUAUAUUUGGGAAAGGAAGUCCCCGUCCUUGGGUCUCUCUAUCCCUUCCAAAAGCUGGUUCACAAGCUGCGGAUCCAACGUAUGAUGGAAAAAAUCUUUUAUAAAAGAAUGGACGUUAGAGACGCUUUGUACUGUUUGUACUGUUAAUUCUAAAUUUUCCAUUUGAGGGUAACUCCAGCUUUUUCAGCUCUGCUCCCGAAAAGAGAAAGGAGACUGAUCUUGACGUCGGCGUUGGUUUUUCCAACGAAACAUUCUUUCACGAACUUUCAUGACAAAACUAAAUGCUAGUUGCCUCGUAACGCAUACACUGGAGCGUUUGUCCCAUCGACGAAGGCCACUAUACGCGUUUUCUGAAGAGCAACAACGGAAAAAAAAUAGGUGAAUCUGGAUACCAUUAAAGAGAAAGAUACAGACUAACAAGAAACAGCCUUUACUUAUUCCUAUCUACACCCACACAAUCGAAAGAAGAAAGAGAGAGAUCAUAAGAACGUGGACCACCUGGUCCAUCUACUUUCGAGUGAAAAGAACAGAGCGAGAAAAUGGCUUGUGCUUCUUGCACGAAUGCCUUUUUUUCCUAAAAUAUAAGAGCGAGUCUCCCAACUGAGCUAUUUCGUCAUUUUCUAAAAGACUCAUUGACGCGAGAGAUGCGAUGCGACAAUCUCAGUCUUACAACGACUUGGUUUACCGGAACUGCGGCCUUCACACGAUGGAAUGGCACUAUUCUAUUGCUGUCCUCAUGGGCUCCGCCAUCUUAUCGAUCGAGAAUGGUAUCAUCACAUCAACUCUUUACUUUUUUAUAUGCAUUUAUUAAGAAUGCAACUUGGCGAUUGUUCUCGGAAUUCUUCUUGUUCCCAUUCUUGAAUUGAUUUGCAUGAAAAUUCAAGUAGACCUCUUAGGAAAGAAAGUGUGAGUUGACGAUUAGCGUGCGAUUGACCGACCAGAAAGGAAAUGAAUAAAAAAAUCAGACAAUCAAACAGCUAAAGGUAGAGGUAGAGACGAAGUAUAACAAGAAAUCAAGGACCUCGUGAGUACUACUUAGGCAGUCGGCCUCAUCAAUUAGUCAUGCCAAUGAGAUAUCAAGCCCUCGAUUCCAACGGGGCUACGGACAAGAAAGGUCCUUUCGAGAUUCUAUUUCCCCUUGGGUCUAUCAAGCUGAACAGUUCGUGGGGAUAUAAGAAGAUCACACUUAGACAACUGUCUACACUACCUCUUUAAUGAUCCGGAUUCCAUGACGCAUAAUUCAUCUGUCCAUAUAUAUUCCUAAUUUCAUAUUCAUCACCAUUUCAAAUCGGGCAAGGAGAAGUCGUCGUGUUGGUUCUAGGAUGGAAUGAUCUUUUGAUCCAAAGAUGCCGGUGCUAAAACCUCUUGUGUCUCUUUUAAUAGGACCGCGAAGGCAAGAGCAUUGAGGAAGCAAGGAUUCUCCCAUAACUAAUUAAUGCGGGAAAAAAACAAGAUUUCACUGAAAAAAGGUGCCUAACCCCGGGAUUUUUCGAUACUUUUCUUGAAAUUGACUGGAUUUGGAAGAAAAUGCACUCAACCUAACAAAUCCUGAUCAAUUCAAGUGGUUAGUUUAAGGGGGUACAUGGGGCUGACGCCGAAGGAGAUAGGAAUGAAGUAGGGCGGGCAGCUACCCAGAGAUUGGAAUGCCCUAUCGACAGGGAAUGCUGGUACCACCUACGGUGCUUGAUAGUCUUCAAUCCAGACGGUCUCGAGAGUACCUUGACCCAUAGCAUAGGGCUUGAUGUGGCUUUGGGGCUCCCCAUAAGGUAAUAGAAUAGGUAGUUCAGGCACCAUCAUCAAUAUGUUGCUGCUAUUGAAUCAGGUUUUGAAUCAAGCAGCAAGAGUCCGACCUCAGGGUCCACCAUAGAAAGGCAUUCCUCAGUCCCAGAAUAGCAUGCAUACGGGAGCCAUAUUCCAAUCAUGUGAGCAGACUUCUUCGAUAAGCAAGCAGCUGUUCGCGUAGGCCCGGAUACAGAGGAAAGGGAGGGGAAGGUAUAGAAAUCUAUCAAAAGAGCACCUUAACGGCGAUGCCUGGAAGGAGUCCCUCUUAUUUCAGUAUAUAGGACUUCUUGUCCGCGGGACCUAACUAACUACCCGAUCGAUGGAAAAUAAGGGCAAGUCAAUACCAGAUCGCACUCAACAAAGUAAAACGGGAUGAAUUCAAUCGCCAAGACCUGCCACUGGCUGAUUCCAUAAGCACAGAAAGAAGGGUUUACGAAUAAAAAAAAAGCUACUCAUUAGGGUCUCUUUUCAUAUCCGGCUAUGUGAAAACCCACGUACUCUUCUCUGAAACAGCCUACCUACCUUUUGCUUUUUCAGAUAAGUAAAUAAGCGGACCUCCUUUCCGGAGAGAAAGUUUCUACUUUACUAACCACGGGUCUUGAUCACAAAGUUCUAAGGUCAAUUCUCUAAUGAGAACAGACUCUGUCCACAAGGGCCAUCAAGCCAACUAUAUGGAAGGACCCACUCCCACAUUCCCGCUCGUGUUCCGUUUUCCUUGUGGUUCCCGUAGUCGAAGCAGCUUAAAGAAGGUCAGGUUUGGAACUCGUGAGGGAUGUUUCGUUGCAUGUGGAUCUUCCGCGCCUACUUUGUCCUAAAUUUGGUCACCCAUGCACUUUUCUAGUUAGGGCUCGACUGGGUCCUUUGAUAAUAUAGGUAAGUCGGGCUUCUUUUUAAGCAAUAUCAUGACUAGAAUCUUGAGAGGAUGACUACGUCCUUGAAGCUACAAAGUCCAACGAAUGUUGAAUCGACGCAUGACGAAAACAAGGAAAAAGAAAAGGUGACUUCCGUUGACCAAGGAAAUCGAAAUGUAUGUGCCGGUAGAACAAAGAUACCAUUAGGUGAUAAAUUGAUGCUGCCUGCACGCACAGAUUCAGGAGAUGACAAUUUUAGCUUCAAUAUGAGAUGCCAAUGAUGCAUUCAAAAAGGAAUGAGUGCUGCCCGAGUCGACCAAGAAAAGAGGGUAACAUCAAAAUUAUGGACUACUGAGCAAGCUAACUGAAUGGAACGGAGUGCAGGAGAUUUCUGAUUAGCUUCAGCGGAGAGGACCCUUAGAUCCGAAGCAGAGUCAUCAUGGUCCUGUAACAUAGAAUAGCCUGCAGCAGUACUCCGCGAUAAUUCCACCAUUUCCUGAACAACAUGGAGUUGAACAGUAGCUUUACACUGACAAUCCUUCGCCCAGCGCUCACCACAACCAAUCCAGAGAACCUUCGCGCGCCGAUAAGCCUUCAGUCUAUCAUAAGAAGAAUACUUGAAACUAACACUUAGACACUUGAGUAACCAAUCAAAUCGUACAUCUUGUGGCAUGCUCACCAAUAUUGACGUAAAGUGAGGUGAUCAGGGUUGAUGCUGUGAUGCGAAGGGAAGGGGCCACUCAAUUCAAUUCAAUGUCGUAAUCCGACCUGGCUUCUCCUGUCCGCACUUGGGACAGAUUGAUACUCGUUUUUUGCUGGAUUUGAACUUGCUUAAAAAGAAAGGACUCAGCUUCCGCAAAAGUGAUCGAUGGAGAAGCUCAAAAGUCUCAAUCCACCACUAGCUAUCAUUCAAGUUUGAACUUUUCGAGCUCAUCCUUACCUUUGCGCUUUAGCUGCUUGUUCCCACUAACCCAUUUCAUUUUCUUAGCUGGAUCCUUCAGAAAGUCUCUCUUAUCGCUUGUCCAGAGCCUGGAUGUCAACCUUAGCCAGAGCCUGUAUCUCAUCAGUCUCCAUCUGAGCCUCAAUCGUGAACUGAAGAUGACGCGCGGUCAGCGAGGAAUGAAUUCGAAAACCCGUACUUGGAGCAUUAUUGCACUUGGGAUAAAGUAGAUGUCGAAACAGCUUCUUCUUCAAGUUCGCUAUCGUGAGGGAUGUCUAUGAUAAUAUGCUCACUGCAUAUGAGUUAGUUCAUUCCAUGAGGUCGAGGAAAGGUUGAAACCAUUUUAGAGCUAGGCGGGGUCUCUCAGAUGCAGACUAACCCAUUUCGACGUGAAGCAUCGCAUCGGCUUGUGAUCCUAAAUCUAGUGAUUGAUUAUUGACUUGUCAAGGGCAGGUUGGUGUCUUAAUGUGGAGGAAUUCCGUACCUAAGAUAAGAAGUUUCAUUUCAUGCCUACCGUAGUCCCUAUUUUAUUGGGCAUAGUCCCCCUUACCUACUCCCGAGAGUAGAAAAUCAACAUUUAUGUCGUUCUUAAUAAGAAAGAGAUGCUCGGGUAGCAAAGUUGCCUACCAUUAGGUAUUGUUUGAGCCCGUAACUUCCAUUAGGAGAGGCAUCCUCGCUCAGUUUCAACUGGUGGUUACUUAAGUUUAUUUUCUCUGCCGGAUUGCGUUUCAAAUUCAGACUUGUCUUUGUUAAACAACGCUUUCGGGUUGCCUAGACCAGAGAAUUCAAGAAAUAGAGACGCGCAUUGCCUAAUUGGUAGUUUAUUUCCCACCAUAGCUUUACUCAAGUGGAAAUCCUUUGAAUCGAACAAAAAGUUCGUAACCGCUAGGCUGCAUCGUCCCCUUCAACCAGAAUCAUCUAGAUUACAGAUUUCAUAACUGCAUUUUGCAAGAAGAGAGUGCCUCCCAUUCUCUGGAGUAACGAUAAUAAUAACACUCCACGUCGCCUUCAGGCUUGGAUCCAUGCCUUGCAUCUUCUUCUUUCUCAGAAAAGAACUCAGAUCGUUCAGAUUCUUUGCCAGGAGAGUCCCCGGCUUUCGAGCCCUACUCGUGGGAGUUGCUUUAUCCAUCAUUGCUAUUGGCAUCUUGGCGUUAAACAAUUCGUUUAUAUAAACACUUUUUACAUAGCAGAAUCCUUCUCAGGUUGAUUUGUGUGCCACUCGUCAUCAGACAGUGAAACGUCCGGUCUAGCCCUUAGCUGAGGGAUCUUAACUCCUGUCCUGCCAUCCAUAUCCGUGCCCACCCGAACCAUGGGAAAGAAAGGAGAAGACUAAGCAGCUCAAUAGGGUCUCGAGUACGACUAUAGUACCAAAGCUUGGUGCUUCUACCAGUCAAGCAAUUACCACGGGUGGAUAUUCAAUAGAAAGCCUACUUGAGUAGGUCAAACAGCGGGGAUCUCUCAGUUCCAAUGGCUGGAUCUCAGAAUCGCGUAGAUGGGUAGAAGUAAUGGGCAAACGCACCUAAGUUAGAGAUUUCAACUACUACGGUAGUGAUGGGGUGCCUGUUUACCUAAGUAGGCCUAGUUCUUUCUAUAAUGAGCAUUCGCGUCCGGGGACUUUGAUCCAACUUCAGCCGAUGGGGAAACGGCAAGGGAUGCACCGGUAUCUGGACACGUGAUGGACCCAGUAGUAAAUAUUCCUUUGUGGAAGGCUUUGGUUAUACCUGGGUGGCAAAGCGAAGUUUCUGGUGGGUAGGUGUCUAAAACAACCCUCUGCAAGGAAGCACGCCCGUAUCAAUCCUUUAAUCUUGGAUAACGUUUUCUAGAAAUAGGAGUGACAGUCGGGUCAGACGAAAUAAAAUCUGUUGCGGUGAGCCGGGCUAUGACCCUAGGCCCCGUGCCUACUUAUACAUUUAAUAAAGAAGUUAUUCGCGACCGAGCGGAAGCUCUGUAUCUGCCAUGUCCUAUUUACCGCCUCUGUCUGUUAGGCCAAGGCUCUCUGCUUCAAUAAGAAAAGUAACAAACGCCUUGGGCUAUUACAUUUGCUGGGUACGCCUCUUUCUUUUGUUACCACCUUUACUACUCGUAAGUCACGGGCCUUCUCCCUGAGCUGGGCUAUCCUGCGCUUUUGAAUCAAGUUGUUGAUGAAGGGUCGAUGUGAAGAUAAAGGCAUGGUCGAUUUACUCUUUUGGGUUCUCGGAACCAACGGGCUUAACGCCCCAAAUAGGGGCUUUUCUACCAUCUAUCUAAACGGGUAUAAAAACAGAGAAAUAGGCUCAUUAAGUGAAGUGAGAACAGAACUCGAUCUUUGCUAGGCGUGAGAAGAAGAUAUCGGUCCUUUGGCCAUCGGGAGCAGUGGUAAAGAAAUCCUUUGAAUGGAUCAGUGAGUUCCGGCACGAUUGCUGGAACGAACGGAAUCUACGGGAACGAGAUCUUUCUGUUGGCACGAUAUCUUUCAGGAACUGCGGUAAUCCAAUCCUUGAGCUAAGGACGAAUGCUUGAUUUGCAAUCUUUCAAGACGAUUUUCUUGUAGCAGAUGUGGAAUCCAGAUUGGCAUAACGGGUUCUACGUGAAGUCAGCCGUUCGUCAUCAUUUGAGGGUUCGGGUCGGGAUCAUGGCCAUAAAUCGCUACUUUUUCCACUAGAGCGAAUAGCAUUCUUCGAAACAGGCACAGGACACUAGAGCGAAUAGCAUUCUUCGAAACAGGCACGCACAGGACUUGAAGCAGAAUCAGAGAGUGAUCCCUUUCCAACAGACUGAUCGAAUUCCAGUGAUACACUACGCCUGGCACUAUUCGUCACAUUAGUAGUUAAGUUACUCAUUUGUUACGAACAAAGAGACGCUAGAGAUUCUAUGAACUUCAGAUCGAUGCCAUUCACUAAUCUCAAUCGUCUUUCUAUGGAUUUCUGGGCCGAUGGGCGAUAAACCUUAAAAGUAGCUGCUACGGGCUCUGUGGUGCGUCUCAGAGCCCUUCCCCAUGGGGGGUUCCCGUUCUGCUAAUCUUGCUAUCUUCCCCAGGUUUGCUCGUUUCGAUUGGAACAAGAAGUCCGUAUUGGUAUUUCUUGGUAUUGGUAGCAGAUGUUCAGCGGUAACAAACAGUAGCUGCAAGUAGAUCAUCUCUCUUUCUUUCGUACAAGUAGAUCGUUGGGAUGAGAUCUGUAGUCUAAGAAUCGGUUCAUAGGAAAGCACGCCUUGCAGUUGGCAUCGGUAGAAGAUUUCCGUCUUGUCCCUCGGAGUGGAGCUAGACUCACUUCCUUUGUUCUAGACAUUAUACGUUACUCACUGAGGAAGAAGGGAGUAAAGUAUCUACACUCGUAUCGGAUCUGGAGAUCUGCCCCGGGAUGGAAAGGUAUCGAUCGACCAAGAACUUGUCGAAUUUCUUUGACCUCGGAGCCCGUACAAGCUCUUCUUCCACAACCAUAUGUGACCUCCCCGAGUUUCGAACCCCUCGCCCUCUAAAUGUGGAUCUCCUCCUCCUCGUUGUUGCCGUGGAGAGACCUCACGUCUAGUUGAAAUAGAUGCAAGUAAAACUUUCUGACAGCUAUGUGAGCACGGAUCUUUCCAUCAUAAGAAUAGGGCUCUGGCAAUAGAUCAAAAUCACUAGUCCAUUCUGAUUCGGAAGAUAGGGCUGGGCUGGCAGGUUCUAGUUUGUUCGCACAAGAAAGAGAAAGAAGUGCCGGAGGCAGCACUGGACCAAGUAAAGGUGCCGGAUACGUCUCAGCUCAGCUUGAAAGGGAAUGUGUUUCUGGGGAAUCGUACUUUUGAUUCUCAGCUAAAGCCCACCCUUGUAAAAUAGCAUCUACUUAUGAUCCGCCUAAUUUGCAAUCUUAUGAUCCGCCUCACAAUAUGAUAAGAAAUAAUCCACCCAGGACCAGAAACCAGACAAUAGCUUUGUUUCACGACGAAUCCAAAUAAGUGUACUGUACUUCCUUUACGCUUGAUUCCGGAUUGACCUAUGAAUCGAAUAAGGAAAAUUUAAGUGCCCGGCCCAGGAGGUAGGUCCAGUCUGCGGUGAAAUCUCGAAUCCCUCUUUGGCAUAGGAAAUUCUUUGACAACGGAUCGAUCCCAGUGAUACACGUAUAAUGUUAUGAACAAAGAGUUAAGCGAUUAGUAAGCGAUCUGGUUAUGGAUUGGCAACGAGCACUAUGAUUUCUGAAACAUAAACUGCUUUCUUUAGCUCCAAUAAGAGUAGAAGGGACUGCUCACUAAGAUGAUCUGCGGGCAAAUGGGGCAGAUUUCUUCUUGAGUUGAGUUUUUUAGUCCAUCACUGGAACUUCUAAAGCAACUAUACUUAUAUUGCCUACCCGGCUACUCACUCGCUCAUGAGCUACUCUCCUUAGCAAGGAAAGAGCCCACAUGAAAUCCUUGUUUUGUUAUUCGCAGAAGAUAGCAUUGGGAGAAGAAAGCGGAAUUGCUUUUCAUGCAUUGCAUGGUUUUUAGCGACCUGGUAAGGAGUCAAGUCAAAGUUUACAAAGGUAAGCGUGAAUGCUUUAGGUUCGCUACGAUAGUAGUUACUCACUGGGUCAACAAGUCAAGGUAUAGUUGUUUACAAGGUUGCAGGGUUGGAUCGACUGACUUGAGAAAGAGAAUGCGGCUGAUCGCCAUGAGCGGAUACGGAUCUGGUUUGGAUAGCCCAGCCAUCUGGGUUGCCAACUACGGAUUAUCGGGUUAAUUCGAUUCGUGGGUGGAGAUGGAAGGCAAGCUGGUUACGAAAAUGGAGAUAUCUAUAUGACCACGAAAACUACGAUAAUACUUUUCCUCCGGGGGUACGCCAAGUAAGAAAUACGACCUACGAACAAUACGAUUUAGCGGCAAAGGCAAAGCACAUUCUAUAGUUGUAGAUACGGUACGGCAAUCUAUGGCUUCCCUCCUCUAAAGCAGCUUCCUUCCUUUCCGGUUCGUAGUGGUUACGAGCAGAAGUGCAAUUCAAUUCGAAUCAAUUGCUUUGAUAUGAGAUAUGACGAUAACGAGCGCUAGAGAACAUCGCUAGAGCUCCCUUUUUCCUAGGUCCAAUACGAGCUCCUUUACGGCGUAUAAAGCAAUGAAAUCUAUCGUAUCAUGACGCUCGGAACCCACAUCAGGCUCAAUAGAAGGACAGGCUGUCUCGGAAGUGCUUCCCUUAUGCUAGGAGGGAGUAGAACCGGUAUCUUUUAUACCCCGUAUUCGUACUGAAAUGAUCCACCCGGCCAAAGCUUUGGCAAUUCCACCAUUAGGAAAGCACAUGAUAUGUAGUAUAUCAAGUAGUUCCUCUACAGGAUUAGGCUCCGAGGUUUCGGCUUUUUCCUUGCUACGAAAAGGGAUUCGUAUAUACAUUCAAUGGUAGUAUCGGAUUUAACGGCUUCCUUCCUACUAGCUAGAUUAAUACCAGCAACCAUACCUUCCUAUCCGGAUAAAGGCUCCUCUAACAAAAUCAAAGGGAAUAUCCUAGGUUUCGAAUCAACGGCUUCGGCACCUCGGAAUGAAACAAAUUCAAUAGAUUCAAUAGAGGUAUCCCCACCUCCCCUUAGCUAUCAAUAUCAAAAUCCCUACUUGUCUUUGGGUUCAACAAUGCACACUAACGGGAUGAAAUCUACGCCCAGCGGGGCAGCUGUCCUUGUCCUCGGUUCAGUAACGGCAGUAGUGGAAAUACCUGUUUCGGUUGCCUCGGUUCCGGGAAUCAGAUCGGUUCCUUCCUCUGCUAAGGCUUUGGUUUCAUCGUAUUGACUACGAAAGGUACGGUGUAGGUUCCCACGAUCUUUCCUACGAUUUCUACGAAUAGAUGACUACGACUAACGCAAGAGGGAUUCCUGCGACUAACGCUAGAGCAAAGGGGGGGAAAGGACAAUGAAGCAGCAAUAAACAGAUUGAAGAGCUAUUAGUAUAGCAAGUAUUAAUUCAACAAUUAGUUAGUUUGGGAAGACUGCUUUGCCUGGAUGGGAUGUGCGAGACUGGAGUAGGGUUACGGGACGGGUCUCCGAGUUGAACCUGUGUUUUGUGAUGACAUACCUUUCCUGUAUUUUAGAAAGUAUUUACCGGAUUCGCUAGUAAACAAGAGAGUGUCCAAAUCGAGGGAUCAAUCCAACAAUCUUCUCCUUUCAUCACGGGAAAGCCAGUAGAGUAUGCCUUGGUUUAAGAGAGGAGGCAUCUGGAUAGCUAGGGAUAGGGGAUUCCGGUCACUUGGUAAAGAAGGGUGGAUAGCCGACAUAGGGAUGUAAGGGAGUUGUAGGAUGCCAGAGAAAGCAUUGAAUAAGUGAAGAAGCACGAGGCAGACCUUUCUUCAGAGUUAGCAAUGGUAGUUCGGAUAGCAAAGCACCAGCAAGCGGAUAAGGCUAGGCAUGUCAGUAAUAGGCAGGAAAAUAAAGGAAUAACAAGAAAGCCAUGAUGCACGCGACUUGGUUGAAGAAAGAUUUUGAAGAUCUUAACUUCAAUUCUUUUCUCUAUGUUCUGAAUUCGAUGAGCUGAGGACAAUGAAGCAAUGGAAAGAACGAUGACCUAGGAGGUAGUAGUAGUACGAAGCCGGAAGGUGGUUUGAUUCUGAAGUUGAGUGAGGAGGCGGACCACGUGACAGUAAGCAAAACGUAUAUUUUGACUGCUCAUAAGGCGAUGAGACGGGCAGAGGACAAAAGCAGGGUGCCCCGCAUUCUCAGCUGCUGAUUCUCAGGCUGAUUCUACUUGGUUGGUAGAAAAUCUACUUAUCCAGGAACAGGCGACGGAACAUACGAAGGACACACGUGCUACGAAGAAAUAUGAGAUUCUCAAAACAGGGAAGGCUACGGAUACACAUGGGGCUAGGCUAACAAGUAUCUUCGUUUGACCCUGGAUUCAUUGUUUCAUGCAGGAGUCAAGCUCUACUGGUCGGCCUGAGACGGAGCAUCGGAAGCGAAUCGAAGUAAUCUGGUUGGGAUUGAACACUACGGCUUGGAGUUGGGUUAGGGUUGCUCGAGUCACCUUACUCCAGGUGGGAUGCCGCUCUUAUCUUAAGGGUAGGAAAGCUUUUCUCUUAUGGGAAUGAAGGCAAGAUAAAUUCAAGUAUAAGCAAGGUCGAAGCUCUUGUGAGUGAGAAAUAGGUAGCUGGUAGGAAGCCUGGGAGUUUAUUUCGUUGCGUAGUCCGUGUCGAGUUGUCCAAUCCUUUAUCAAUAGGUACAACGGCAAUCAGCGUCCUUCAAUUCAUGCUAGUCGUUGAGAACUCAGCAUGUCGUCGUAUUCUGGCGAACUCCGAACCGUUGUUCCGAGUCAAGUAGCAAAGCUAAGGGUAGGACGAAUUAUCAAAAAUGGAGCAUUGCCCUGCUUUCGUGUCGAGAAGCAGAGUAGCAGAUGACUUUCCCGAGGUCACAGACGUCACUCAAAAAAACUCAUUCCUUUUGAAUUAAUUUCGAAUAGUUCUUAUCUUUGAACCACUAACAUCCAAGUAUCAACGAUGCGCGAGACCUUACAAACAAUCUGGUAAGCUUGAGUGGACCGACUGAGAUCUAAAAUACUAUGGUUAGGAACAGCUUGACUUAUCUCAACAAGUGCAAUUUCUUUCAGGCUUAUUCACUGAAAUAUUAGAAACCCUUUUUUCUUUCUUAAUGACUUCGCUCUUCACUUCAUAUCCAACUAUUGAUAGCCGGCCUAGUUUCAAAGGAUACCCAGGGGAUUAGCCCUGAAAUUAGCCAAAACAACCCGGUGGGGUAAAGUCGUCAAGUGGGCAAUGGUUCUAAAUAUAUAUAUAGUGACUGACACGAGAUGCGAUGCCAAGUUAUAAGGUCAAAAGUGAGAAUGUUGGAGGGGAGAUGCCAUGAUCCUAAGGCUAGAUUGGCUUAUCAGCCUAGGGCCUGGCCUCUGAAGGUAGACUGAGGAAAGGGAUAGCCUUUAAUGAGAGGAAAGGGAUACAUAGCCUUUAAUGACAAAGAUAGAGAAGUUCCACUGACUCAUUCCUGUCUUCUUCAAAACCGAAACGGAUAGGUUGUCUUAAAGAUCAUUUCUAUAGCGAGAAGGAGGAACUUUCUUACUAAGGCAACUCGUAGAUUUUAAACGCAUUCAUCUUUCCUUUUUCUUGAACAGCUCAGUCAAACCAAGCAGUGAACAAAGUUAGUGCAAAUGUGGCCAUGUAGGUGCUGCAGGAAAGCAACUUGAUAUUGCGAUCCAGAUCCAGCAAGAAGUAACGUUGCACUAUGACUCAAUCCAGUUGGAAGAAGAAGCUUAUAUAUCCCAAUCCAUCGGGUCUAAGUCCCCUUCCAAUCAGAUUCAUAAACACCUAACAUAACAGCAGCCCACAAGGCCUUGUUGAGGAUGAUCUCCUGUGUGAAAUUCGAGAAAUUCCAUUCCAUUUAUACGAGAAGUGCCGAUCCCUUUUUUUAGAAUAAAAGGGGGUUUGAGGGUGUCCCAGCCGGUUCCCAUGGCCACAAAAAGCUAGCGGUUCGACUCUUGCUUGAGUUUGAUAGGUGAGAUAUUUAUUUAAAGACGGAGGUACGUUCUAUUUCUUUUCCUUCUGGCUGGAUGGUGUACUAGCUUGGUUUGGCUGGCACUAUUGGGUAUCGUGGGCGUCUCAUCCCUUGGAGGUUAGGGUAUUGAAAACACAUUGAAUAGAGAUCCGAAUCGAAUACAAAAGAUCGGAAAUGUCCGUUCGUUCUUCUCCACCUGAUGACGAAGUGCCCGGUCUCAAAUGUAAGUGCUUUCUGGCUAAUAUAGAUAGCCGCCUAAAAAGCACACAGGAAAAUCAAAGAAAUGGAUAUUUAGAGCCACUUUAGAGCUCUGGCACCACUCCGUUCGACCUAUCAGCUCCCCAAUGCUUAACCGGACGGACUGAUUCUAUAGUUCUGUUUUAGUAGAAACUUGAUUGAUUCGUUCCUGUAUAAACAGCUAAAGGAAAGGCUUCUGNNNNNNNNNNNNNNNNNNNNNNNNNNNNNNNNNNNNNNNNNNNNNNNNNNNNNCAUUGUUCUGUUGUGGAUUCGAACCACUAGCACAAAUUUGAUUUCGAGUCAAAGGGCGCUUUUUUAGGAUUUCCAGUCCUUUUACCUUUCAGAACCUCUCUUUCUAAGUUAUGUUUUUUUUAUUGUUGUCAAUUUCCAUUCGUUUAGUACGAGAUCGCUUCACACCUCGCGGUGCUUACACCUCUCGCCUAUCGAAGUUCUGUUCAAAAACCUCGUACGAGAACUUGUAUAGAGAAGGAUUUCCCGCGGCGCAGCAGUUCUUCCAUACCAACUUAGCUGCCCGGCGCUGCUAUUGGCAUAACAACCGGUACACCAUAGGUUGACCCAACCCAGUCCUCUCGUACUAGGGCUGGCUCCUCGCAGUUCUCCCUUUNNNNNNNNNNNNNNNNNNNNNNNNNNNNNNNNNNNNNNNNNNNNNNNNNNNNNNNNNNNNNNNNNNNNNNNNNNNNNNNNNNNNNNNNNNNNNNNNNNNNCUACUUGACUAAACUAAGGACCUCAACGGUAUAAACAUGUAGAUUUUCUACUUUUCCAUUUUCCUUCUUGUUUAUCAAUCACCAAUCAAGACAAACCGGGCACUACGGUGAGACGUGAAAACACCCGAUCCCAUUCCGACCUCGAUAUAUAUGUGGAAUCGUCUUGCGCCAUAUGUACUGAAAUUGUUCGGGAGACAUGGUCAAAGCCCGGAGAAAGAGCAAGAAAACUAAAGAAAGCGUUAGCGCAUUGGACUCGAAAUCCAAAUUGUGCUAGCUGACAAAGAAAAAACAGAAUAUAACAGAGAAAUAUUGGUUCUGGCUGGCAGCGGGCAUAGGACUGAAAAUCCUCUUUCGCCGGGCCUUUUGGACUCGAAAUCCAAACGGAGAGAGUGGUUCAAAUCCACCUCAGAACGAACAAUGAAAAAGGCGUCGAGCGGGUGCAAGCUCGAGGAGCUAGGAAGGAUGGAAGAAAGCUUGACCGUUUUUUCACUGAACUACUCGAACUUUUUGUUAGAAAAAGCGGAAAUAGCUCAGUUCGAGAGAGGGUUGAGCUUCAUCGGUUAGUGUGCACCAAAGGAUGAGGUUUCUUUCCCGUCCUACAAAUUGAAACCGUUCUAGCUUGAUACUGCGAUAUCGUCAAAUCAUCCAACGGAGCAUGGAAACCAUUUCGGUGGCGGUAAUGGCCUCCAGUAGUUUUCUAUGGAACCAUACCACUAUGGUCAUCUAUAUGAUUAGACCGUGCCGCUUCACUAGACUUUCCUGAACCAUCCAUUUGAUCCCCACGGUCGUGACACCACUUUCUAAACAAAAGUUUCCAAAAUCCAAUGCGGAACCAAGCAGUAAGAGAAAUUCAUCAUGGUAAUUAUUAGUCGAAAACCAAAGUGGAACGGAGAGAACGGAGAGUCAGUUACAAUGAAAAAAUUGUUGAGGAAUCAUGUUGAAAGAACAACAUUCUGUGUCAUAAAUAUCGUAUAUAGAGAUUUUUCAUGUAUCGACGCUUUUGAUUCAAUUAUGAAAGUACGCUGUACUGGACUUGCACCCCUAGUUACGCAGAAGUGCAAGCACAGAAGCGGAUGACCGGACCUUACCAACAUACUCAAAAAAGUAUUCUAUACUGGGGUCUGUGCUCUUGACAAGCAGUGUUUCCAGUCUAGCUGUGUCAAAUCGGGUGUGAAGUGUCCUUCUAGGUUCUGGCUGGUAGAGCAGAAGACUGAAAAUCCUCUUUAGUUUCACGCAUGGGACUCUAAAUCCCAAUUGCGCUAGCUCUGUGGUUCGAUUCCACAACAGAACGAACAAUGAAUGAAUGUGGGCGGUCAACCAGGUAAGCCUGUGCCCAGGAAAGAAAGGACUAGGGAGGGAUUGAGAGAAGCUUUCACAGUGGAAAAUGCAAAAAAGCAUAUCGUUCUUAGAAAUUGUGGAAUUUGACUCAGUUAGAGCUAUGGUUUAGCAUCAAGAGGGAAGUUUUGUAAAAGCAACAGGAAGAAUUGCUCAGAUACCCGUGAGCGUAUAUAACUUGGGUCGUGUUAUAAAUGCUCUGGCUAAACCUAUUGAUGGGAGAGGCGAAAUUGUAGCUUCGGAAUCUCGCUUAAUUGAAUCUCCUGCUCCGGGUAGAAUUUCCAGGCGUUCUGUAUAUGAACCCCUUCAAACAUUUAGAAUUGCUAUCGAUUCGAUGAUCCCUAUAGGGCGCGGUCAGCGAGAGUUCAUUAUUGGGGACAGACAGACUGGCAAAACAGCAGUAGCCACGGAUACAAUUCGAAAGAAAAAAGGGCAAGAUGUAAGAAGAACGAGAGCGAGCCUUCACGAAAGAAAAUGCAAGUGAAAGAGAAUUGUAAAAAUUUCCUAAAAGCGGUGGUUCUUUUCUUUAUGGAUCGGGUAGAUCCAUAUGUUCUGAGGGGGAGACGAGGUGUAGCGCAGUCUGGUCAGCGCAUCUGUUUUGGGUACAGAGGGCCAUAGGUUCGAAUCCUGUCACCUUGAUGUGGUAUUCACACAAUGGGGCCGAAGUGCAAAGCCCCGUAGCCUAUCCGUGGUCGGGAAGGCAGGCGAAAAGCGCGCACANCAAGAAGUCAGUCGAAAAGCGUGUAUAAAAGAUAAAGAAAGCUAAAAAGCUUAUUUUGCAAUCCAUUAUCUUUGGUAUUCUUCUAUAUUUAUAUCAUAUUAUAUAGCUAUUUCACAGGUUUUAUUUACAUACCUCAGUCAUGUUAUUUGUCUAGCCUUCAAUCAGAAUAGCCUCUCCACCGGUUCCGAAGAUUCUUUCGGCAUCAAUGUGCUUUUGGAAUCUUCCUAUGAAACAAAUAACAUUCUGGAACAGUUUAGGACAGAACAGGCCUCAGUAGAAAGCGAGCUUUUUUCGCGUAUAGCCACCUCGAAGCCCAAUUAGCGCACGGGCUGCCCCCUCAACUCAACCCUGACGAGUACGCAAACUUGGUCAGGGAGCAUUUAGACGGUGCAGUUAGUAUUGACCACUACCGCCAAGUCCAUAAUUCACAAAUUGAUGAAGUCCACAUAAUGGAGCUCAAAAGCCGAUUACCAAAUCUACUUUUUUAGCAUCUUGAAACCGCACAUAAGAAAUAUUAUGAAUGAAUCACCUUACAAUAACAUACGAGAGACAGCUUUCUAUUUUGUCGAACAACAAGUCGAACCCAAUGAACAAUUCCAUUCAAAGGAAUGUUCUAGAGUUUUUUCCACUAUAUUCGCGAUAUUUAACAAAAUGGAAUGGAAUAAAUUCUUCACGAUUUCUAGAGUUCCGGGAUUACUUCACUGAUAUCGAUUUUCGCCUAAGCACGGCCUCUAGGUUAGUUCAAAGUGUAAUACAACGAACUAUCGAUACACCGAAAACGAGUCAAGAUGGAUACAUAAAAUGGAGACAUCGUGGAUUACCCAAAUUGGGACGACGAUAGGACAUUUCACUUUCUUUCGCAAUAUUUCUGAUCAUGACUCAACCACUAGGAAAGGGGAUUGCUUACUCUCAGCCACGUUUUCGCUUAUGCUUAGUCAAGUGAGGAUUCCAUUCGAAGUAACGUAACAGGAGCACCAUCUUCAAAACUUCUCGGGAUCCGGAGUUUUUCGAUAAAAGGUCCCAUCCUUCAAUAUCAUGAUUGGGUCAACCAGGCCAGAUCAUAAGUGAAAUAGUUUGAUCGGGUCGACCAGGUCAGGCCCGAUCAUGAGUGAAUAGAAAAUCGAAAACGUACAUAGCUGUUCCAGCGGAAAUACUUUGUUUAAUUCUACCACUUCUACUAGGAGUAGCCUUUUUAGUGCUAGCUGAACGUAAAGUAAUGGCUUUUGUGCAACGUCGAAAGGGUCCUGAUGUAGUGGGAUCGUUCGGAUUGUUACAACCUCUAGCAGAUGGUUUGAAAUUGAUUCUAAAAGAACCUAUUUCACCAAGUAGUGCUAAUUUCUCCCUUUUUAGAAUGGCUCCAGUGGCUACAUUUAUGUUAAGUCUGGUCGCUUGGGCCGUUGUACCUUUUGAUUAUGGUAUGGUAUUGUCAGAUCCGAACAUAGGGCUACUUUAUUUGUUUGCCAUAUCUUCGCUAGGUGUUUAUGGAAUAAUUAUAGCAGGUUGGUCUAGUAAGACGGGGGGCGGCCGUUCGGUCGCCUAUGAUAUACGGACCAAUUGGUCAAAAAUGGGUUUGUGCCGCAGGUGUUGAACGAUCUACUCUACACAGGUGUGGGCUUACAGGGCUAGGGCUCAUAAACCCUUUCUUUCAUUCAUCAAGGGGUCGGUCACUUUUCCGGGCCGGGAUCGAGAAGUGGAAGUCAUAAAAAAGAGAUGUUUCUCUUCGCACCUCAUAUCAAGAGGAAAGGUAGCUUGUCAAGCUGGUCUCACUAUUGGAAAUUCUAGCUUUCUUUUUUUUUUCACCGGCUCUUCUUCUUUGUCAACGCUACUAAGGACCUGACGGUUCGCCUACUUGAUGGAUGAAAGAACAUGAGAAAGGGUUCUAAAAUAAAAGGCUAGAAAGUCUACUACAGUACAGUCAAAGUCAGCGGCUGAGUUUGCCUAGCCUCGCCUACUCAUUUUUGUAGGCGAGCGAGUUAGCGAAGAGGCUUAGGGAUAAGAGAGUGUCGGUGCGUACGUAGCCUUCAUUCUACUACGCUACACAAAGUCACUUAGCUCGACGUUAAUUAAGAGAGUAAAGGAGGAAUACCCUACAUAGAAGAACCACAGUUCGCUUACAAAGGUAUAACCUUUAGCUCCCCGGGGCUAAGCUGCUUCGCACCACUGAUAGUUAAUUAAGAUUCCAUUUCAAAGGCGCUACUUUGUUUCGCAAGCCUUUGUCAUUGUCAGUCAACUAAGGUUGGCCCUCGGCCCCCUGCGAAUCCGUAAAUCAGAGAGCAUGCCGCAAAAAAAAGGAUGGUCCCCUAUGCAUUUCAUUCUUUCCGGAACGCAAAGAAUUAAAGUACCUGACCCCCCAUCAUGGUGAACCUCUCCUUGUGAUCGGGAUGAGGUAGAUGCCUCCCAGCCGGGGGGGCGGAUCGAAUCGGAGUUUCCUUAGGUAGCCACCGACCUACAGUUCUCCUUAAACUUCUGUGCUUGGUGGAAAAGAAGCGAACAAAGGUACGCUCGCUUGCUGUCUUGUUCUCUGCCGCGGACUGGGAUCGCUCGCCAGCUAGGCCCUCUAGAAAAAAGUUGGAGCAACAUUGUAUGAGAACAUAUUACCCAUCUUCGGGGACAAGGGGCGGAACGACCUCUCGAUCUACUUACUGCAGCCCAGGACGGGCGUCGUCGUCUAGGCGUGACUUCUUGUUUUGAUCUCCCCUACGCCUAGGACGUUGUCUGGGCCAAGAGCCAUAGUUAGUUGCUGUUUCCAUUUGGUUCUUCUUUCUCGUUGUUGAUACCGGCAAGACCCAGCCAGAUGAUGAUGUCUGCUGGUUGGUAGUGAGAGGACUCUUAGUACCCGCAAAAAAGGGCGCUGGUGAAAAAAAACAAUCAUUUGAUUUAGUUUCUUGCUCUCCCUUAGCAGCGGGAAAGGAGUCUAUCUAUCUGCCUAGCUUUGGUAGAUUUCCCCCAACGCAAUUCAAAAACGGAAAUUCCACGAAUCCCUGAGGUGGAUAAGUCCGACGACUCAGCAGCAGUGCGGAAUUGAGUUUCUGGUCCGGUGGAUCUGAUCUAUAGUUAGGGGGCAAUACAUACCAAAAGGUUCGAAGAAGGAAGGCGCAGUAUAUAACCAACCCACCCAUAGCCGGUCUAACUGCUGAGAGAGAAAAGUGCUUUUCUUUCCCUAAGAGUCCUCGAGUACACACAGCUAUUGCGGAUCCUUUGCGAGAUCAGGAUUUUUGAUUCAUAAUUUAGAAUCAAUCCAUGUUAGGUCAACAUCGAGACAGAGCAUCUCAGUUGGCUCUGUCAAGGAAGUGAAACAGGCAUUCCUAGGUUGAGGUUACCAUAGGAUUGACCCUCAGUCAGGCCUCCGAUUCCAAGGAGUUGAUUCAGCAAGUUCCCCGCGCUACCCCGCGGGAAGUCUAAUCGGAUCAAUCGGUGGUUCCGUAAUGAGUAGUCGAAUACACAUUGAGGGGGCCUUGCCUCCUCCUUCCCGCCCACACCUUCAUUCUUUUCCUCCUCUGAUCUUAGAAAGCAUACUAAACUUCACUCCAAUCUUUCUCCAUUAGCAACAAGAGCAGCUCUAUCUAUCGGCCCUUGAUGAGUAAGCUUAGCUAUACCGCUUAGGUUGCAAAGCAGCAAGCUCCCUUCUAAUGCGUUAUUGCUUGGAGCCUUCUCGCUUAGUAAGCCGCCUUCGGCCCUUCCUCCUUCUUACUCUGUUUGGUAUUCGCUCGCGGGUUUGUUUCCAGGUUCUUUCGUUCUUGGUUGGCUCUCUCUAUUGUUGUUUGUAGAUCGUGCGUCCUGCGCAUUGAUCCGGCAGCGAGACCCGCCCUGGUUGUAAAGCGAAGCGAGCCGUCCUUCCUUUCAUUCGUUGCUUUGUCUUCGGUUUGUUUUUAAACUCGACCUUCUAUCGGGACUGUGGUGACGAACCUUACUCUCCUCGGUCAAGUGGUUGACCCGUCUGUCCAAUAAGUUUACUAAGUGAAUGGGAAUCCUAUAGUUUGACCAGCCUGGGAAGAGUAGUCAGAGGCAAUUCGCUAAUAUGGAGCUGUUUAUAUCGGCUUUCUUUCCUAACUAACAGGAAAAGAGAGACAUGCGAGUUCGACUCUCGUUCUAUCCAUGUUCAGCAGUCCCUUUCCAUCUUGGUACUGUUGAUGGCAGUACCGCUCAACUACGAGAUGCUUGAAAGUCGAUGUAUCAAUAAUGUUCCCAAGAGUAGCAUCGAGCCUCGAAACGGCAAGCCAUGCUUCAAGCUAAGUCAGUAUGGAUCUAAUUGAUUGCUAAACUGAAGGAACGAUCUCUGUCGAAGAUUCUCAUUCUGAAGCAGGUGCCUAGCUCUGGAAGGAUGGACGGGAUCAUACCUAUUUGAAUUGAAGAACAUUCUGUAACACUUGUUUUUGAGUGGGGAAGGAAAAUAAGCACACAAGCGAACAACCAUCUAACCGUCAGUCUGAACUCCCAGGAUCAGUCCAUCAGUAAGAAAAAGCUUCCGUUUCCGUCAUUCAGCAGUGGAAUGGAAUAGUUCGAUGGUAUUGAUCGUCCAACCAUUGAUUGGAAUGUCUAUCGUGAUAAACCGUGUAAUUCUAUAAGCUAAGCAGAUGAGGCAACAAAGAACCUAACCGUCCUCUCUGAUUGACUUCAUCAGAAGAUUCCUAUGGUCUGGUUUACCUUUCUUCUUUCCUUGCAACCUUGGAUCGAUAUGGUUCAUUCCUGGGCUAUGCUCUUUCAACGGUUGACAGAAGAGGGGGACGGGCAAGGAUGAUCAGACUGCUUGGUUCGGUUCGUCAGAGGUAUUAAAAAAACCUUCUUUUUGGUCUUUUCUUUCUUGCCGCCACUUUAACAGGUGCCGCUGCAAUGAGAGCGUAAGUUGCGGAGUUUUUUCUGGAUUCUUUUUUUUUUGGUGCGCUCUUCCUUUUUUUGGAUAGAAAGAAGGGUUCAGUGGGAGGGCAAGGGGUAGUUAAGUUUUAGGUUGGCUCUUGUUUUUUACAGACUUUCUUUUCGGUGUAAUUUNNNNNNNNNNNNNNNNNNNNNNNNNNNNNNNNNNNNNAUUUCAUUUCAUUUUUUUGCAUUGGUAGUUCUUUUUCAUUUGAAAGGGCAAAGGGGGGAAGGGAAAGGAUUGACCCUCAGGGAUCAUAUUACUCAAGAAGACUGGGGGAAAAUAGCAGGAUUGGAAAAGUUCGAAGAGACUGAGGAAGACAAAUCCAUUGUCGAAUCCUGCAGAGUGAUAACAUCGAGUAGUGGGGGCUGGCUUCCACCCCUGAGAGAGCUUGAUUUACCAGAAAUCCCGCCGAGUCCUAGUGGGCCUAGAUUCCGCGAUAAGUUCCGAGAAAUGGAGGAAAUGAUGCAUUCAAAGUUCGCAGAAUUGCAAGAAAGACAAAAUCCUUGAAAGAAAAACCAAACAAGACCAGAUGUUCCCUAUUGUUAUCGGGAACGAGACUAAAUGUUCGGCCUUAAUGAGAUGGACCUUGAUUCCUCUCCGGCCAGGAAAAGAUGCGGCUCCUCUUUGUUCUACUACCUUCAUCCUCGGGUGAAGCCGGUUGGCUCACCAAACAAGAUAUAUACUGUGAAAUCAUUGGUAACCAUGCCUAACGGUCGGUCAUCUAAGCUAUCGGCCAAGGCAAGUGAGAGCUGUUCAAGAGUUGGGGGCAUAUCUUUAGCUCGAGCAGCAUCCGCUCCCGAAAUGUGAGUUAAGCGGGGGGGGGGGGGGGGGAGUGGAACAGCUUCUUCUAUUCCUUGUUGGCCUCCAGCUCCUUCUGUCCCUCAAUCCUCUUCUCUGCCCUUUUUUUACUAUUAUGCGUGGCAUGCCCCCUGUUCGUAUCUUAACAGGGCAACCUUCUCUUGCAAACAAUCCCUUCGUCGCUAACACCGGUAAUGCCCCAUCCCUUUAAUACUACCUUCGAGGAAUUUCUCUCGCGUCCCUGUAGUGAUAAGAGCGCAUUCUCUAACAGCUUUGAAGCCGAGGCAGCCAUCCUCUUGCCAAUCCUAAACAAAAGAAAGAAAAGCCCUACCCGCCUUCAUUGGUUGAGUAAGGGGCAUUUACCUAUCAGUCCUAGUCCUAAGGCGCAAUCGGAGCACUAAGCCCAAUUACAGCUUGACUCCGUAAAUUAGACCUCAUUCUCCUAGUCCUAUUCCUGAUUGUUAUUUCGGAUUCUGUGCCUGGGUGGUAUCUUCUUACUAUUGAUUCAACCUCUUCGGGCAAACGUUGUCACUUCCUUUAUUUGAAAAAAGGGGUCUAGAACUACAGUGAUCUGAUACCUUCUUCCCUUGGUCUGGGUAGGUAGGUUAUGUAGGCUACAACUGUUCAUAGGUUGUUCGAUCGCAAAAGGCCAAAUAAUCGAUUACUAGUAUGCCGGAUAUUGCCAGGAGGCCCUUCCCCCUAUGUUUGACUCAUCCUAGAUGGGUUCACACCUGUUGAUUCCGGUCAAAGAAAAAAGCUUUUUCACGGCAUCCGUCCCAUCACACCAAUCUACGCCAAGAUAAAGAAUGCUGGGUUGCCAGGAACAAACCCUGUGAUUCAAGGUCUUGCCUAGAAUUGCCCUAAGAAAAAUGCACCCCAUUAAUUGAUCCCUCUUUAGGGUAGUAUAAGUACAUCCUCGACUAUAGCACGAGUAGAGUCGAGUUCUCGUACUAACCUAAGAGCAGAUAUGCCGAAAUAUUUCCACGUUCAAGCAGCUAAUCAGUAAACGACUUCUCCGUAACAGUUUGAAGAUUGGCUCGCAACGCAAGUAGCGGCAAGAAAGGAGAGCAAGACUUCCUUUUCUAAAAGAAGAAAGAACUAGACUUCUAUAAGAAGAUUUUUAUAAUCGUAGAUCGUGGAAUAUUCAUCUAUCUUAUUAGGUAACUACUUUAGCUGCUCUCGAAACUGAACCAUCGUGAAUAGAACUAGCGCUUAAGGAAGAGUAGGAUCUGUUAGCAAGUCAUAUUCAAUCACCCGGUCUUCUCCUUCCUAGCUUUUAGAUUUUAUGAUUCUCUCUUGGAUUUUCAUACACUUAGCCGUGUACGUAUCUUGGCUAAACUCGAACCUAUAGUUGAUCCAUCCAUACUCGGUAAAGAAUCAAAAAGGUACUUGAAGACGACUUUGAAUGGGAGGAGGUUUUCUUUUUAUCCCCCCUAACCUUAUUUUUAUGUCUUCUUCGUUCUCAGUCCCUACGGUCCAUUGUAGGAUGAUUUUCCUAAGGCCUUGAAUUCGUUGGCAAGGUGAUCAGGGUCCUCUCCCUGGUCCUAUCGAACCAGUGACUUCUCUCCUGGGAUUGAAUAUGUUUUGCCUUUCCCCGAUGGUUCCGCAUUCCUAUGUGGGUAGGAUUCGCCAGGGAUGAGCGGCUUAUUUAGCCUAUGCGAAGCGCGAAGCAUAAGAGAAGAGUGUAGCGAAGCGAGUGUAAUACUUGUAGCGAAUAUAAGUAGUGUCAAAGCCUACACUGGCUUAGCUCUGCAGAUGUUUUCAGGACGAAGACGGUGAUACGAUACCACUCGCCAGUGAUGAUAAGAUUCACUCAUAGCAUAGGUGGAAGAUCCAUCCAAUUUUAUUUAUAGAUUUAUUUGUUCAAAGAAAAGACGCCUAAAAAUCAUUCAGGGAACCUACUCUUGGUAUCCUUUACCACAUUCACUUUCCAUAUUCCCUUUCUUUAGUUCAGACGCUAUCGUACCUCAGGGAAAAUCCAAAUUUCUAUCAACGAUUCCCACCCAACUCUGGAAUGACUCUCCCCUCUCUCCCUUAACAUAUCGAAGGCCUCUUAUCCGUCAACCGCACCUUAAUAGCUCAGACUUCCGAGCCUUGCUGGAUGAUGCAGAAGGGCCAACAUCAGAGGAUCAAUUGAAUAACCAACUCUCCCGCCCCGCUGCCGCUACUGCUCGAAAGCCUUUGGAUCCCCUACAGGACUGUCAUGAGCCCCUACAAGGAGUCAAAAUAAAGCCGAAACCAGAUACAGGAAGUGUUGACCCGGAUCAAUUGAGUGCGAGCCCUUUUAUCUUGAGCUGAUUCUCCUUAUUUUAGAGCUGUGGCGAAGGUAAAUUGAGCUCUGGCCUGUGGGGAAGGAAAAGGCUCUGACGAAGCUCCAGGGAUUACAGGAAGGUUUAGGCCUUGUGAGCAGCUCCAAACGGUCAGAAAAGAAGAUGGUCCCGCCCUUACUUCGGCUUGAGGAGUCGUUUUCUCGCUAUCUUCUUCGUCUGGAUUAGCCUUUUAGUAGCCUAGUAGGUUGUUUGAGUUUCAGGAAAGGAAGAGGUGCUUUCUAAAACAGCCGUUACCGCUAUGUUUUUUUUCAAUAAGUUCUUUUAGAGCAUCGUGCCCCACUGUCCGAAUAAAGUGUGCGCCUAAGGUGUCAUGUGUUUAAGAAUAUACGUAUAAUAGAAAUACUUUCCCAAUCCGUAUAAGAGGAAAGAAGGGUCCGGCAAUAAGCAGUAGAAGAAUAACCCGCAGAAGAAGUUUAAUCGCUUCCAGAGAUCGGAGCCAGACAAAGAUAAGACUCCACGGCGGCACGAUCGGGAUGAUCCAAACGGGUCAAAAAUGAGUCAAAACUUGUAAAACCCCGGUUUUGGCCUUGUUACUAAGGAGAAAUUGACAUACUUAGCAAACAGAGAUAGAAUUAUUUCAAAAAGAGAUCAGGAAAGAGCCAUUUCCCAACCAAAUAAAACAGGAAAGCAUGAGGCUCGAAGCCCUUUCUCAUUUCGAAUUUCAUCUUAGUAUCGGUAAUGCCCCGCCCAAAAGUAUUUCAUCGCAAUCACACGCUAGCUUGGUUGGAAAAGCUCGUUUGCACCCACUAACUAAUACCUUCUCGUCAGUAUUGAAUUCUCCAUGCUUUCGCCUUGCUUUGUAGUCAUUUUCUAUGAGUAAUCGGUCCGAACUCAAUUUCAAGAAAAAACUCUAUCUCGCCUGUGGCCAAAAGUAGUGAAAAUGGUAUUUAGCUUAGUCAAUAUACAACACAACUGCUGAUUCUUCGCGAGAUGAAAACCCUUUGUCCUCCGUCUGCAGGGGCAAUUCCUGAGAAAAGUGCUACUAGCCCUUGUUUUGGUCAUGUCCACAGGCCUUUCCAUUCGUCUUUAUUCGUCUUUCUUUCGGCAAUCUAUGCAUAAUUCUACUUCUUGAACCACCGAAUCCGCUUUUGAAAAUGGAUAACUAGCUCCAUUCUGCGUCAAGUACUAAGGAUGGGCCCAAAGCACACUUUUGAAAGGCAUCGGUCACCUUAAAAACCCAAAAAGUAGGAAGUCUAGCGUGCUUCUUUAGUGCUGCUCUUCGAUCAGAUGCUUUCUCAUUGAACGAGGCAUAUUAAAGUGAAAGAAGUUCCAGGUCGAGUCCCGAGAAGGCGAUAGUUGAUUUUGAUCAUGAAGUUGGCACUGGACUUUGGAAUUGAUUCUGGACCCCCACCUGCUCAGGACGCCCCGCCUGCUCAGGACGAUCCCAUUACGGAUUUUCUGGAGGGGGACACGCUUGACCCAGCGCAAAAACGGGAAUUCAGAAAUAUUCUGAAUUUCUUGAAGACCAAAAGCAGAACGAACCUUCAAAAUGAGCGAAUCGUAAUAAAAAGAUGUUGGGGGGGCGAGGGUAGUAGUUACGAAUCCAGGGCAAUCAACCACUAUCUAAAAACCCAGGUUGGACAACUGCGUGCUGGGGGAUUAGCAGGGGAUUUUGUCGUAAAGGAAUUACGGAAAUGGAAAAGGGACUUCAAAGCUCAGAAGAGACGGUCCCACUUCUAUCAGGGCCUUCUCGGGGUCUUGAGCAAUGUUAAUUUGCAUUGAUUGCAAACAGGGUGCGGGAUUCUCUGACGCAAACAAAGAAAAGGUCCCGGAGAAAGGAAUCAGUCUCUUCAGUCCGGCGCAUGCCUCAAAUUCAUUUUUCCUUUGAAUUACUCAUUUUUUUGAAUUUCGCACCGGAAACUUUUCUAGGAGAAGUUCGAAUCCGUUCCGUUCGGAUAUUGAUCGGUCUUGGUUUGACAUGGUUUACGCGUUACUGGUUCCCGGAAGAGUCAAUUUCUCCAUUAGCUAAACCCUUUAUUACCCUACCUUUGGACUCGUAUUUUGUUUGUACACAAUCAACGGAGGCCCCCCCGACAUAUGUUGCAACGUCUUCAAUAGCAUGCUCUUACUUCGUCUUUCCCUUAAUAAGUCAUCAAAUUUGGUGCUUUUCGAUCCCCAGUUGCUAUGGGGAACAAAGGCAGAAAUACAAUAGAAUCCUCCAUUUAAGUGGUUCUCGCUUCUCCUUGUUCCUGCUCCUAACUCCUCCCCGGGUAGUUCCCAAUGUUUGGCACUUUCCAUACUUCGUGGGUGCAACAUCAACAAAUUCGCUCAUGAUCAAGUUACAACCUAAGAUCUAUGACUAUAUUAUGUUAACUGUUCGUAUUUUGUUCAUUCCAUCGGUAUGCUCCCAGGUACCUGUAAUUGUGAUCUGUUUGCCAGAACCAAGGGGUCUUUCUGUGGAAACCUUCACGAGCAAUCGUCGUUUUUUGAUGGUUUUUCCGCUUUUCACAGCUGCUCUUUCCACACCCCCGGAUAUCUGGUGCCAAACCGUCGCCCCUUUCCUUAUAUAUUCGAUAAUCGAGUUUGCUAUCUUUGUGGCAUUGAUUGUACAAGUUCGUGAAGAGGGCUGGACGAGUAGAAUGAGGGAAAGCGGCUCGAUCGAGAAAAAAGAGGAGUAGACUAGAAAACCUAGAACUUAAAAAGUCACUAUCAAUGAAUUCCCGAGCAAUUCUAAACCAACAUAUGCUCCGUAUAGACGGAAUCUCAGAUAAGAACCUAACAGAAGUUUCGCGACUCCUUCAUGGAAUAUAGGUCUGAGUAUAUAAAUAAUGUCAGUUCGAACCUGACGAGUCGUUAUCAUCUGUUGCCCUAACUGAGUCCAUUAGCUCUUGUUGCCCUUCUAUGGUGGGGAUCCAUAGAGAGUUCGUUUUAUGAAAUAUCUGAUAAAGUAAAAAAAAAAGAGAGACAGGUGGUUGCAACAAUCACAAACCAUAGAAAAAAAUGCAUAUCCCGUGUGUGCUCUAGUUUCGGGUUCUCCUAGACCACCAUUAUGAACCAAAAACAACCAUACCUAGUGAAGGGGAGCUCUUCGCAGCUGUCAGUGGAAAGAUGGAAAUUGGUUCUAAAAGAGCCGAGCUAGGGAUAAGAGAUAUGGUUGGUUGGCAGAAUGGAAGGAAUGCUAUUCUAAUGGGAACCGGGAAAAGAAUGGUUCCCAAUACAGGGCCCGAAGAAGAGAGACGAAAGGAAGUAGUGAAAGAAGAAAUAAAGUACGCGGAUCAAAGUGAAAAAUCACAUAGCUACUAAGUCAAAACGUCCAAUGAGAAUGGAGAUCAAGAGGGACAUGAAAUCCAUUAGCAGCUCUAUCAGUUAUUUCAUUAUUAGCAUUCCUUAACCAAUAGAAAAAGAAAGAGAUCACAAGCGUUAUCAGUCUCCAGACGCAUCUAUCUAUAAAAAGGAGUAGGGCACCUGAUAUGAGAUACAUACUGGAGUCAAGGAUUGGGACCACUAGUGAGAAGGCCAAUAAAUCGUUUUUCUGUAUCGGAAGGGAAAGAAGGACCAUCCAUUGGCAAGCACUAAAGGUAGGAAUCUAGUGGCUGCUGCAUCAAGCUCCAUCCAUGAUUUUACACUCUAGAGGAGAGAACUGCUGUGAGCCAGCUUUGUAGCGACCUUUCUUAUGCGGAAGCAAAACCUGUAUUUCUAUACGAGUUUCCUUCAGUUGCUUAGGGUGAGCAAGCCCAUAAUAUUCCAUUUAUAUUCUUUCUCCCUUUUCUGUUGGAGUUACAUAGGAGUGGUCCAUAGGGGGGGCACUAGUUACUGGUUGGGAACCAUCGGUCCAUAGGCGCGCGAAUAGGGGUCCAUCCAGUUUAUUCUUUUGGGGUUGUGUGUGGGACUGAUUCCUUUCCUCUUGAUGUGGAAAAAUAGGCUCUUAGGGCAUAUGCUGCCUUUACCGGAAAAAGAAAGUCAACGGACUUCAUGGACGAGGAGGUGGAGGAUGAAUGGUAUGGCUUGCUCACUUGCUUAAAAACUUAUUUUCCAAAAUAAGGAGAAAGAAUAUAAAUCUCCGAAUGGAGAAAAGCAUAUUCUAGUAUUUGCCCAUAAGCUUAUUCCAAAUAGGAGUGCUACAUAAGCAUAUGCUAAAGGGGGAGGAAUCCAUUUAUUAUUUAUUUCUUAGCCUGGGCCCAACUAUGUACAGAAAUCUAUCUAUUAUUGCCUGCAUCGACAGCAAAGUAAACUCUCGCUGAUGAUAGAAGAACAACUCUUAGGGCAGUUGCAAGGAAACUAUGAGCUAUUUAUUGUUCCUUUCUUAGAAAAAAAAAGAUAAAGGAUGGCUUAUGGUCUAUUUUCUUACUUGACUAUCCUGCCUGACUUGGCAAAUAAAAGAGAACCCCAUUUCGCCCGGAAUUGGACUUGUUUGCUACCUUGGGAAAUCUUUCUGCUUACCUACUUGCUGACCUUAGGAUAGGAAAUGCAUAUUACCUGAAAGCUAGUCGCUCGGCUGGCACGCUAUCAAAGCACUUAGGAUUGGCUGGAACAGAACCCCCGAGAAACUUGUGAACAUUUCGGAGAAUAUAGAGAGGAGGGAGAAAAAUGUAUAUUUUGUAUCGUUUCUUCGAAACCUCGCUUACGUUUCACUUCCCUUCACCAACCUCAGAGGGUACUACGGGCUUAGACUCUCUAAGAUAUCCAUCACUAAACUAAAGAAAGUAGCGAAAAUCAUAAGAGAAGCUUUGUGUUCAGAAGGUUGGGAAGGAGUACGCCCGGUUUGUCUUGAUUUGCUUCAUCCAUGAUUCCCCUUGUGGAGUGAAGUGGAAUGCUAAAGAUACAAAAGUGAACCGUAGGAUCUCGUCUUACCCCAUUGACAAAACUUGUCCAAGAAACCCUGUAUGUAUCGACUAUGUAAAUAAAGCCCUAAUGUUUGAAUUCCGCAUACACCAAGAACGACCAAUUAGCUCUAGCCAAACCUUUCACAUAAUUUUGCAUUUAUGCCCAAAAAGGGACAACAGGUUUUGCCCAUUGGUUCAAAGAAGUAUGCUAAUUUCCUUGGAUGUGUAUUAUUCUUCUGGAUUUGGUCGGUUGUAUUAUAUAUAUACUUAUAAAUAUGAAAAUGGAGCAUUCUACUGUCAAUGAAGUAAAUACUCUAAUUUGGAAAUGUUGAGCUCUAUUGUUUGGAAUAGGCUCGCUCCAUCCUUCCGCCCGGCUGUGCUUUUACCUUUUUUUGUAGUGGUCUCCUGGUAUUUUUUUGAAACGCCUGCCUUUU